GAGGUUUGAACAAUCUACUCCGUUUUCCAGAGUCUCGAGGUGAUUCCAUUCGAACAAUUUCUCUUCCCAUAUCUCGCACUAGAUCAUGCAUCACCAAAUAACGCCAAUCCCUUUGGAGCAAGUUCCUUUGGACUAAGGUUGAAAUUGCACUCUCAGAAUAAAAACCACACGCAUUUAAUGUUUUGAUAACUUCAUCCUCAAAAAAUCCAUGGAAGGCACAUGCGAUAUCAAGGAAAACACUUUGAGUAUCACAAUCAAGUCCAUCAAAGCUUAUCUUGAGGAUCUUUUGAAUAUCACAAUGAGGAAUUGCUCUUAGUUUUUUGAACUCGUAUCUCCAUUCUUCUACGGAUCUCCCUUGUAAAUGUGACCCCAAUGUCACAAGAGCUAACGGUAGCCCACAUGAAUAUUUGAUUAUGCUUUGUGCAAGCUCAACAUAUUCUUGUGGCGGAGAAGGACUACUAAAAGCAUGACAAGAAAAAAGUUGUUGAGCUUCAUCUUGAUUUAAAAGUUUUGCCUUGUAUCUCUCAUUUUCUCUAAUCCGAGAUAACAAAUGCUUGUCUCGGGUUGUAACAAUUAUUAAACUACCAGAGCUAAACAAACUUCUGUCUCUUGUUAAGGAUUCUAAUUGGCUCAUAUGAUCCACUCCAUCAAGAAUAAUUAGAACCUUCUUUGACCCAAGUCUUGCUUUGAUUAGAUUGACUCCUUCAGCAACACUGGUAACUUUGACGUCCUUAGUUUUGAGAAUUUGAUUUAGUAGUUUUUCUUGUAACUUGACUAAACCAAAUGCUUCAGCUUCUGAUCUAACAUCUGAAAGGAAGCAACUACUAUCAAAUUGUCGAAAUAUUUGAUUGUAGAUAGCUUUAGCCAGAGUUGUUUUCCCUAUUCCACCUACGCCAUAUAUACCAACCAUACGAACUUCAUCUACACAUCCUUUUUGGAGUAACAACUCUAUAUCUUCGACACGAGAAUCUACUCCAACAGGGUGCCAAGCAACAUCUAGAGGUGUCUGGUUUACCUCUUGUAGAACUUGUUUUACAAUACUUUCAAUAAAUUUUGAUUCAUGUCUGCAUAUUAGUAAAAACAAAAGUUAGAUAUUUGAAAAAUAAAAUAAAAUGAUGGUCAACUUAUGGGUAAUACUUAUAAGUCAGUUUGACCAGUUUAUAAAUAUUACCCGUCAACAACAUUUUGCAAAUCCCAUCCAGAUAAAUUUGCAGCUUCAGUAAGUGAAUCCGUCCAUUUUUUCAUUCUCUCAACCUCGAAUGAUCGUUCCUUAAGCAUAGCGAAAGCUUCACCAAAGUAUCCGGUUUGCUUGCGUACAUGAGAAGGAUGAACAUCAUAGAAGAUAGGUAAAACUAUUUGCUUUAACUUGUCUUUGCAUUCGAGAAUUUUAACAAGUUCAUCGAGACACCAACUAGACGAAGCAUAAUUUUUCGAGAAAACAACAAUGGAAGCUCUAGACUCUUCAAUUGCUUUCUCAAGUUCUGUUGAAAUCACCUUGCCUUUUCUUAAUUCCUCGUCGUCUAUGAAGGUAUUAAUUCCGACUUGACAUAAUCUGAAAUAAAGAUGAUUUGUGAAGGUUUUUCGAGUAUCUUUACCUCUGAAACUCAGAAACACAUCAUAAGAAAAAUGGGAAAAAGUACUAGAAGAUUCUCCUCGUACAAAAAGAGUAUUCAUAUUUGAUGUGAAUAUAUGGAAGAAUGAGUAGCUAUAUAUAUAAUAUACCAUGCACAUGCUAUGGUUUUUUCUUGGUAACUUAACUAAUACUAUAUAUUCUUUAAUUUAUUUUGUACAAUUAUUCUUCAUUAAAUUUUGUUAAUUGGGACUAUUUUAAAAAUUGAUUCUUUACCUUUUGUCUCAUCUUUAAUUUGUUUAAGACUUAAAUGAUAAAAAGUAAGAUUCUUUCUUCCUUAAAAACUCAAAAGUUCAUCUCUCCACAUAAUUAUUAUGAUGAUGUUAAGCUUGAUGUCAUAAUUUUUUAAUAAUGGAAUUGAAAACAUCGAUUAGUUCUCAAUUCACAAGUUGGAUUAAACUUUUUUUUUACACCUAAUCAAGCAGUAUCACAUAAAUUAUAACGAUAAUUUUUUAAAAGAAAAACACUUUGUAUUAAUAGUAAAAACUAGGAAACUUUGUCGUAAUAAAACUAACUACUAGUCUAUUGCAACUAUUAAACAACUAAUAAAACUAAUUGGAUCACUCUUACUGCACCAUUGGUCCUAAUCCUAUACCUAUCAUACUGAUAUAGAGGCGAAUUCAGAACGUAAAAUUUAUAAAUUCUUAUAAAAAAAUUAAAAUUUAUGAACGAUAAUAAUUGAGUUCAUAAUCAAAUUAUAAUAAUUACUCAAUGAAUUUCGUAGUACAUAUAAAUAAUAUGAAUAAAAUUUAUUGAGUUCACACGAACUCUCUAUAGUGUGGCAGGUAAAAUCAGUAAUUUUGAUCCAAAUUGAACUUUGUAUUUAUGAUAAUAAAUUUGUUUGUUAUGUGUAGCAAAAAUAUCCGGAACCCAAUCCGACCAGUAAAUGCUUUUUAUAAAAUUCAGAACCUAUAAAUGUAAAAUCGAAAUGCCAGUAGUAGUCAUAGUAUUUGGAACAAAGAAAAGCAAGGGAAUAACAAACCAUAUCUUCUGCUCCAACUUCAUUUUCUUUUAGUAUUUUUGGAGGGAAAAAAGGGAAUAGAAAUUAAAUAUUAUCAGAAUGCCAACCAAAUAUUGAUAUUGUGCUCUAUCUUUACUGUGGAAAAAAAAUUAAAUGUAAUUUAUUUAUGCAGUUUUUUAAUCUUCCAGGGGUCCCAUUUUUCUAUAGAUUGAAUUAUCUUAAUAUUUUAUGACAAAAUACUGUAAAGUGAUGUAUGACUGUAUGGCAUAUAUACCAUUUGUAUAUUCCUCAAAAUCAUGAUAAUACCAUUUGUUUCUAACUUUUGAAUUGUACUAAUUGAAUAGAUUAAUUGUACAAUAUACUUUUGUUUAGUUCAAAGUUUUCCUCUUUGUACUUUAAGCUUUGGUGUCUAUUGUUUUCCACAUUUUAUGAGGUGUUAGGACUAGAAAAAGGCAUAAUACAUAAACAUACAUUCAAACUCGGUCUUAGUUGGAGUGAUCAUUUAGACACCUCCAAAAUUUUUGUGUCACGUUAGUAUAUGGUGUCCACGAGACACAUUAAGGGUGAGUUGGAGUGUUUAGUUGUUAGUUGAGAUAUUCACUUUCAAAGUUAGAAUGCUUACUUGCCGAUUGUAGACAAGUUUGAGUGUUUGUUUAUGUUAUUGUUGAUGGAUCCAUUUUUCAGUCACUACUUAAUUAGUAGCUAGAGGCGAUAUUACGAUUUUGAUUUCGUAGGUUCUAGACCACGAUCCAAUCUUUUUUGCUUGCUAGUAACUGGAGGCGGAUAUUAGGAUUUUGAGUUUGUAGGUUCUAGAUCACGAUCCGAUCUUUUUUGCUUGCUGAAAUGUCUGAACACAAAUACAUUAUUUGCAUCAAAGUUAUUAAGUUCAACCAAAUCCGUAGGUUCUAUAUACAUGUGGACCUGUGGUGGAUCUACCCCUAUUAAUUAGUUACACUUGCGAAAUUUUAAUUGGAUGACAAAACUAGGAUCGAAGUUUCGAGUGUUUGGCAUCUGACGGAUGAAAAAAAAAAUCUGAAUGAAAAAUACUUUUUAGCAAAUCAGCUUGUAGUUGGAUGAGAAUUUUGAAUAAUACAGAUUGAUAGUAGUGUCUAAGGUGUUGUAUACAAAUACGUUUAGAACCAACCUUUUUCUUACCUAACGAACACAAGAAAAUAAGUAAGAAACCUACUUAAUCUCCGGAAAAACAUUUUCCAAAAAGACAUUUUAGAGGCACUGUUAUCAUUUGGUAGAUCCAGGUCCAUGGCCUAUUUCUAUGGAACACAUUUUCCAUGGUACUGAACACACUCUCAGAACUUUGCUCGUUGAUACCCACUGUUACGGACCUCACUUGUGGGAUUUCAGUGGAUGUGUUGUUGUUGUUUGAGUUGACAUGCCCUGCUGAAAGUCUUUGUGGGUAGGAGGGAGUAUAAGAAUGAUCCACAACUGCCGGCAAAGAAGUAACAUUACCAUGUUGAUCUAAAUAUAAUAGAUGUACUCCUAUCUUCUUUACUACGGCUCCGCCAGUGCGAUCCUCUACUCUUAUCUGUUCCCCUCCUUUGAUGAUGUUCAGGCCAUUAAAAGGUCUACCAUUUGAGAAAGAUAAGUAAUAUACACAUGAUACUUCUCCCUCACUGUCAGGUACCCAAGUCCGGAAAAAAGCUGAAGGCUGGCCAAUAGUAACAUCAAACUCUUGAAGACGGCUGGUUACAUUGCCAAAGUGGCAAACAAACCAGAGAACCAUUCCUAACAACUUGUUAUUAUGUACUGUGGGCAUAAUCAAACAGAUAGAUGGAGCUGUUACUUUAUUGCUGCACCAAUCUGGAAUCUCAUUGCUUUCGAGAUUAAUUCGUAACGACACCUUCAUCUGAAAAAUUAAGACACAAUUAGAUCAUUAAUUAUUAAUGUGAUACAAGAGAGAGAUCAGAGAGGGAGAGGGACUAACCUCAUACAGUUGAUGUUUUCUAGACGGAAUUGACAGAGCAGGGGCACUAAAGAAGCCUUCACUGAAUGGAUUCUGCAGUGAAGUACAAUUAAUCAUGUCGAUCUCAUAUAUUGAAGGGAGGUUGUCCAAUCCUGUAAUCUUGACCAGUUUUUGGCAAUUCCUAAGUUCAAGAGUUGUAAGGUACGCUAAAUUUGAUAUUGACGGGAGUGUUUGAAGAUUCUCCCAAUCAUUCAAACACAAGGACAUCAACAAGGGUAACUUGGAAAAAUCAAAGGGUACAUAGAGGAAACUAUUGCCGCUCAAAUCUAAACAAAGUAACAUGGAUAAUUUCCCAAUAUCCCUAGGAACAUCAAAACCACAAUAUGAAAGGCGUAGAAUCGAAAUAAAUUUUGACAAGGAUACUACGGGGAGUACUCUUGUUUGAGAAAACCUCCUUUUGGCCUCUAAAUUCCGACCUCUCACAUCCAAUCUCGUAAGAUUUCUUAACAUUUCAACAGAUCCAGGCAAUUGUUUUAUACCUGUAUGACGUGCACGAAGAAGUCUUAGGCUUUGCAUAUCUCCAAUGUCAACUGGCAGUGUUUGUAAAGAUGAGCAGUAACUAAUGUACAAAACUCUAAGGGAUUUUAGCUGGCAUAUGUUGCUCGGAAGUUCCGUAAUCUUUUCACAACCAUUCAGUUGAAGAUAAGUUAGUCUGUCCAAAUUUCCUAUUGAUGGAUGGAUCUCCUUCAGACUUGAGCAAUUCUCAAGCAGCAAAGUCUCGAGACUUCGUGAACCGUUUGAAGUUUUGGAGUUUUUCUGAGGCGCUUGCAAUCAGAGAGAUCCAGCAUUUUCAAAUUUCUACAACACUAAAAGUAAACAAAAUAUUGUUUCAAUUAAGAUUUUCUUUCUCUUAAACAUUACACAUAAAAUUGCAGAAUUGAGUAACGAACCUGCAAAUUCAAACCAAAUUCUUGGAUAUUGCUCCCUUUCAUAUUCAGAAAUACAAGUUUAUCAGAUGGAAAAUUUGAUGGUAUACAUUUUUAAAGGACAUCCUUUCCAAGACAGCCAUCUGAGCUCCUUGGACAAUAGCUCAAAAUCUCCACUAAUACGUAAGUCGUCGAUUUUAAGCACCCUAAGAUUUAUCAUUUUCUGAAAUGCUUUGGUGUUCAGCUUCACACCCUUUAAUGCAUGUCGUUCUACCACCAAUAUUUCUACAUUUUCAGAACCCUACAGUUUAGUAAGAAGAAAAGUACUAUAAGACCAUGUUAAGUAUGAUAAAUUAAGAAAGAGAAAUGCUUUAUACAAAUUGAAGGUCAAACAAAGAGAAUAAAUUAUGUACCAAUAAAAAUAAAUUUACACAUUAUAUCCAACUAAAGGAUAUUUAUUUGAUAAUUUUGUCUUUGAUAGUUUGUUUAGACUUCAGUAAAUGUUCAUUUCAAGUACAGAAUGGUUCAAACGUCUAAAGAUACUUACUAGCCGGAGAAGAUUUAAGCACAAAUGCAUAAAUUAUAAGCAAAUGUAUAUCAAUAUAAAAGAAAAAAAGAAGAAGAAGUAUAACCAAGAUAAAGAUAAUGAAAUUUACUGACUUUAUUUCCUUGUAGAACAUCAAUGACUUCUUGAGGGUUGAACAAUCUACUCCGUUUUCCAGGGUCUUGAGAUUCCAUGCGAACGAUUUCUCUUCCCAUUUCCUGCACUAGAUCAUGCAUCACCAAACUAUGCCGAUCCCUUUGGAGCAAGUUCCUUUGGACUAAGGUUGAAAUUGCACUUUCAGAAUAAAAACCACACGCAUUUAAUGUUUUGGUAACUUCAUCCUCAUACCAACCAUGGAAGGCACAUGCGAUAUCAAGGAAAACACUCUGAGUAUUGACAUCAAGUCCAUCAAAGCUUAUCUUGAGAAUCUUUUGAAUACCACCAUGAGGAAUUGCUUUUAGUUUUUUGAACUCGUAUCUCCAUUCUUUAACGGAUCUCCCUUGCAGAUGCGACCCCAAUGUCACAAGAGCUAAUGGUAGCCCGCAUGAAUAUUUUAUUAUGUCUUGUGCCAGAUCAACAUAUUCUUGUGGUGGAGAAAAACAGUUAAAAGCAUGACAAGAAAAAAGUUGUUGUGCUUCAUUGUCAUUUAAAAGUUUGGCCUGGUAUAGCUCACUUGUUGUAAGCCCAUAUAGCAAAUGCCCAUCUCGGGUUGUAAUAAUUACUACACUACCAAAGCCAAACCAACUUCUUUCUCUUGUUAAGGAUUCUAAUUGGCCUCUAUGAUCCACGUCAUCAAGAACAAUUAGAACCUUCUGAGACCCAAGUCUUGCUUUGAUGAGAUUAACACCUUCAGCAACACUAUCAACUUCAAAUUCCUUAGUUUUGAGGAUUUGAUUAAGUAGUUUCUCUUGAAGCUUGACUAGACCCGAUUCAUCGGUUUUUGAUCUAAUGUCAGAAAGGAAGCAACUACCAUCAAACUGUUGAAAUAUUUGAUUAUAGAUAGCUUUUGCCAAAGUUGUUUUUCCAAUUCCACCAACUCCACAUAUACCAACCAUGCGAACUUCAUGCUCACAUCCACUUUGCAGUAACACCUCUAUAUGUUUGAUAGGAGAAUCUAAUCCAAUUGGGUAAUGAGCAACAUCUAGAGGUGUCUGGUUAACCUCUUGCAGAACUUGUUUUAUAAUACUCUCAAUAAACUUUGAUUCAUGCCUACAGUUUUUGGAACAAUAAAUACUUGAGUAUUUUAAAAUAUUUGAUGAACAAAAUAAAAAUCAAUAGCCAAAAGAUAACAGAGUUUAUAGAAUGGAGAAUAUAUUCCUUGUCCCUAUCUAUAUAAAACAGUUUGAUUUGACAUAGAAUUUAAAAACUAUAGAAAUAUUUUGAAAUUUUCCAUAAUUAACCAACUUAUAAGAUUAGGCAAACGCUUAAAUUCAAAAUCUUAUAGUUGAAUUAAGAAGUCUUACCCAUCAGCAAUAUUUCUCAAAUUCCAUCCAGAUAAAUUUGCUGCUUCAGUAAGUGCAGCUUUCCACUUUUCCAUUCUUUCAGCUCCAACCAAUCGUUCCUUGUGUUUUCCAAAGCUUCGUCAAAGGAUCCAGUUUGCCUUCGCACUUGAGAAGGAUCAACAUCAUAGAAAAUAGGCAAAACUACCUGAUUUUAACCUCUCUUUGCAAUCGAGAAUUUUGACAAGUUCAUCAAGACACCAACUAGACGAAGCAUAAUUUUUGGAGAAAACAACAAUGGCAAUUCUAGAUUGUUCAAUUGCUUUGUCAAGUUUGUUUGAAAUGACGUCUCCCUUUCUCAAUUCCUCAUCAUCUAUGAAAGUAUUAACUCCGACUUGACACAAUCGAAAAUAAAAAUGACCUGUGAAGUUUUUGCGAGUAUCUUCACCUCUAAAACUCAGAAACACAUCAUAAGAGAAGUUGGAAGAAGAAGAUGAUUCUCCUUGAGUAUUCAUAUUUGAUGACAAUAUAUGGAAUAAUUAGGCGAUUUUUAGUUGAAUGAAAGAAAGAUGAGUGAAGCAGCUACAGGUAAUAAUUUGUUCCUGGAAACCCAAUUUUGGGUCAACUCAUUUACAAUCCCUAAAAAAGUUAAUCCCUAGAUAGUUCACGUGUCUAUAUUUUAAAAGUAGAUAUAUUGACAUAAAUUUAGAUGGUAAAAAGUACUCCUUUUCUCUUUAAUUAUUUCUUCAUUUUUAAUUUGAUAGACCUAUUAAGAAAACUGUAACUUGCAUCUAGUUAAAAAGAAUGUUGAAAUAUUGAGUUUUAUGAAUUUGAUUUUAUUUUACUUUCUACAAAAGUUGUGUGAUCAUUUGGUAAUGGCCAUUACUAUUGCUCAAAGUUUUUAAACAUGAAAUAUAACUAAUACGAUAAUAAUUUUAAUAUAGCUUACUAAAAUAUUCAAGAUAAUAAAUGGAGAUGAUUAAAGUUUUUGGUCAAAAUCAUCCUCAAACUAUAGUCUAGAUUUUGGAUACAUCCUUGCAUUAUUAUACUGAACGAAAAACAUCAUUCAUCUAUCUAAAAAGUUUCAAUAGUCAUCCUUCUGUUAAUUUUUGUCAAAAACUACCGUCAAAACAUGUGUCAAGCAUGUGGCUUUUCCUCUAAAUCUCCUAAUUUUAAUCGUCUUCUGCACUAUAUUUUGAGCUAUUGUACACUCCCUCCGAUCAUGUCUCCUCGAGAAGUACUUGUUAAAUUAUUCUAUUGUAUCUUAUAUUAACUUUAAUCAAGUAAAUUAUUACAAAGUAAGAUAUCAACUUAGAACAUGUUUUAACUGUAACUGUUAGAGGUCGUUUGGUAGAGUGUAUUAGGAAAAAUAACGCAUGCAUUAGCAUUGUGUAUUACUAGUACCUUGUUUGGUACUCUUUUCCAACCUAUGUAUAACUAAUGCUUGCAUUAGUUAUACACUCUGAUCUAUUGUGUAUUAAGGUGUGUAUUGCUAAUACCAUGGAUUUCUAGGUAUUAGCAAUGCAAUGGUUUUAAUGCAUGCAUUAGAUUAACUAAUGACAAAACUACCCUCUAAGCCUAAUAAUAAUAAUAAUAAUAAUUAUAAUAAUAAUAAUAAUUAUAAUAAUAAUAAUAAUUAUAAUAAUAAUAAUAAUUAUAAUAAUAAUAAUAAUUAUAAUAAUAAUAAUAAUUAUAAUAAUAAUAAUAAUUAUAAUAAUAAUAAUAAUUAUAAUAAUAAUAAUAAUUAUAAUAAUAAUAAUAAUUAUAAUAAUAAUAAUAAUUAUAAUAAUAAUAAUAAUUAUAAUAAUAAUAAUAAUUAUAAUAAUAAUAAUAAUUAUAAUAAUAAUAAUAAUUAUAAUAAUAAUAAUAAUUAUAAUAAUAAUAAUAAUUAUAAUAAUAAUAAUAAUUAUAAUAAUAAUAAUAAUUAUAAUAAUAAUAAUAAUUAUAAUAAUAAUAAUAAUUAUAAUAAUAAUAAUAAUUAUAAUAAUAAUAAUAAUUAUAAUAAUAAUAAUAAUUAUAAUAAUAAUAAUAAUUAUAAUAAUAAUAAUAAUUAUAAUAAUAAUAAUAAUUAUAAUAAUAAUAAUAAUUAUAAUAAUAAUAAUAAUUAUAAGUUGAAGAUAAACUAACAGAAGGAUGAGUAUGCAAUUUUUGGGUAAGAUAGAGGGAUGUUUCUUAUCCAUGAUUAUAUUAGAAUGAUGUACUUUAGAUUUGUGCCAUAGUUGAGAGAUGAUUUCAGUUAAAAAUUUAAAAUACUUUAAUUAAAAUUAAUACGAUUUCUUACCUACUUCCUAAUUGGGAACUUUGUAUUUAUGAUAAAGAAGUAUAAAAAAAUUAUCCCGAACCCAACCAAUAAAUGUUUUUUUAUAAAAUUUAGAACCUAUAGUUUUUUAAUCUUCCAGGGUCCCAUUUUUCUAUGGAUUGAAUCAUCAUAAUAUUUUAUGACAAAAUACUGUAAAAUGGUGUAUGAUUGUAUGGCAUAUAUACCAUUUGUAUAUUCCCCAAAAUCAAUGAUAACCAUUUGUCUCUAACUUUAAUUUUGAAUUGUACUAAUUGAAUAUAUUAAUUGUACAAUACACAUUUAUUUAGUUCAAAGAUUUCCUCUUUGUACUUUAAGCUUCGGAAUGUAUUGUUUUCCUCAUUUUAUGAAGUGUUAUUAGAAAAAAAAAAAAAAAAAGCAUAAUACAUAAACAUGUGAUAUUUAAAUUUGGUCUUAGUUAAAUUAUCCAAUUUAUAAAAUGAUCAUUUAGACUCUUCCAAAAAUUAUUUGUUACGUUAAUGUAGGAUGUCCAUGAGAUACAUUGAGGCCAAGUUGGAGUGUUUAGUUGUUAGUUGAUAGCAAGUUAAAAUAUCUAGACUUGCACUUUCAAAGUUAGAGACUGAUUUUAUGUUGUUUUUUAUUUGUGUGUCUAAUUAUGAUGUUUUAUUCAUAUGGUUUUGAUUUGUGAAUGAAUUUUGAUUUUGCUCAUGUUAUUGUUGAUGGAUUCAUUUUCAGUCACUACUUAAUUAGUUACUAGAUGUGGAUUAAGAUUUUGAGUUUGUAAAUUCUAGAUCACAAUCGAUCUUUUUUGAAGUUUGUUGGAAUGUCAUAACAUAAAUACAUGAUUUGAAUCAAAGUUAUUGAGUUUGAUCAAACCCGUAGAUCCUAUACACGGUGGAUGAGAGAAUUAGAAAUAAUUGGACAAAAUUCAUUUAGGAGUCAUUUGCAAAUGAGAUUGUAUUUGGAUGAGAAUUUUGAAUAUAUUACAUGUUGAUAGUAGUGUCUGAGGUGUUAUAUACAAAUACUUUUAGAACAAACUUUUUUCUUACAUAACGAACACAAAAAGCAAGUAAGAAACUGUAACAUCCGGUAAUUUGAAAUAACUAUGAAGAAGCUUGAAAUUGGAAAUAGUCAUUUUUGGAAAGAAUUCAAAAAUCUGGAAAUUUAGCUAAGUAUGGAAAAAGUGAGUUUUUGGUCAACUUCGAACAGUCAUAACUCCUAGCUCAGGAUGAGUUAGGUGUAUUUCCAGUUAUGUUUGCGAAUCCCUUGGAAUGAUCUUUCCAACGCCGCUGAGUUUGCUCGAUUCCGAGUUCGUAUGAGUGAGUUAUGCCCUUUGGAAGUUGGGCUGUUGGCAUAGGGAAGUUCAUCCGAAUUAGUAAGGGUAUUUUGGUCUUUUCCCUAACCAUUUCUUUUGGUUAUAUUAAGGGUCUAGGAUGAUAAAAAAAUCAGUUUUCCCUUUUAAAAGUGAGAGUUAGGGUUCUUGAGAGAAAAGGAGAGAAGAGGAGAAAGAGAAGAAGAAGCAAAGUUCGUCAAGAUCGUCGUGGUUUUCGUCGGGGGUGAUCCCUAUUAAGGUAUGUGAGAUCAUAGUGUUGGGUUGGUUCAUUCCCCCACACGCCAAACUCGUUUUAAUUUCCGAGAAAAGAUUGGUUGUGUUUGUUGAAGAUUUGGUUAUGUUUGUUGAAGUUUGUGCCUGGUUGUGUUUGUUGAAGUUUCUUGUUGGUUUGGUACAUGUUUCCGGUUGUGUUUUCGAGUUGAAUCUAUUGUAUGUUGAGGGGUUUUAGGAUUCUAAGUGUUUGGGGCUGGAACCUUUGAAGUUAAGGUUGUUUAGAGUUGGAAAAACAAGGGAGAAAAGUCGAGUUUUUUGGGGAAAGGGCUGGCGCGUUGAGCCAGCCAGCACGCCUAAAAAGGGAUUUUGAACUUCCACCCUUGGGGCGGCGCGCCAUGCAGAGCGCCCCACCAGCCCUUCUGAACUUUGAGGGCUGGCGCCCCGCGCCUCUCAGAGCGCCAAGGACGCCAAGUCUUCCCAUUCAUUCCCCACUUUUUCAUACAUGUUCCUUAGCAAUGUACCUAUGUUUUAUAGUUGUUUUCAACACUCCAAGGUACGUCUAAACAUCAAGAACUCAUCCAUAAACAUGAGAUCUUUACCCUUGAAUUCAUAAUCCGAUUCGAGGAAAGUUCGGACCAAAGUCAAGUGAAGUUAGAGUCAAGCUUAGAAGUUAAGAAGUAAGUCGAAGCAAGUCUUUAAAGUUUUUCAAGAGUCUUUAUUGAACGUUUUAACUUCAUUUUAAGACUCAAGUUUCAAGGUGAGUAAAGAGUAUAGAGUUUCAAGUUAAGUAAAGAGUAUAGAGUUUCAAGUUGAGUAAAGAUUAUAGAGUUGAGUUCAUUUCUCAAGAGUUAUUAGGGAACUAAGUAUUCCCAAAGAAGUUUAGAAAUGUUUUCACAUUUGAGUAAGAAAGGAACAAUGAUUUCCAAAAGAGCCUUUGGGCUAGUUUUCAAGAAAAAGAAACAUCGAUUCCAAGUGAGCCUUUGGGCUAGAUUUUGAGCAAUUAUCUCAAACUAAAGAAAGAUGUGUUUAAAACACUUAUGAGCUAAAGUAUAUUUUGGGAGUAGUCUUGAGCACUGAAUUGGGGACACGAGUUCAUAUUAACUCAACUCUCCAUAAGAACCAUGUAGCCAACAUGGGAGUUAACGGGUCAUACUUUUUAGAUGAACCCGUAAAGUUAAGCUAGUGGAUCCACUUAGUAAAGUUAGCUUGUUAACGAGUCAUACUUUUUAAAUAAUCACGUAAGAUUAAGCUAGUGGAUCCACUAAGUUAAGUAAGGUCCUAUAUCACGGCAAGGUAUAGGAUGUUCCUUGGCCAACGUGAGGUAAAACGUUGUAUCAUCACUAGGGCUCAUAGUGGUGGUUGUCGGUUAAAGAAUCUCCUACUAAAGUUAUAUUACUUUUAUAUAAGUAAAGUUGAGUUUGUUAUUGUUUUAUCCUUAACGAACUAAGUGGUUUACACUGUUUUUACAAGCUUUAUAUAUUGCAUGUGUCUUAUUGCUUUAUAUUGAGUUCGGUUGUUCAUGAGUCGAACAGAGCUAAGGUAAGAGUUCCUUUGUAUUCCUUUCAAGCUUAAGUUGUUGUUAGCUUCCCAGCUCGCAUACUCGUACAUUCAAUAUACUGAUGCCAGUUUGACUGCAUCUUAUUAUGAUGCAGACGCAGGUACCCAGGAUCAGCAUCCAGCACGCCGUUGAUCCAGCUGAGCACUCCAGAGUCAGUGGUGAGCCUCUUUACUUUCCGGAGGACUCUAUUAUUUCGUUUUCCUAGUUUUGUUUUAUUAGGAUGUUGCGGGGUCUGUCCCAACAUCCAUCUCAGUGUUAUAGAAGCUGCAUAGACAGUCAGUCAGUUAGUAUUGAGUCUCUCAUCUAUGUAUAUAUGUAAAUAUUCUAUUUUGAGACACGAGUUGCCUUUUGGCCAGAUUUUAUCAGUUAGGUUGUUUUAUGACCUUUCAUUGCAUUGAGUUAUUCUGUCGAGUUAAGUUUCCACUGAGUUAAGAAAGUUGGGCCAAGGGUUUGCUUGGGGCCAGCAAUGGUCUUCAAGUGCCAGCCACGUCCAGGGUGUAGACUUGGGGCGUGACAAUCUCUUUUAAGAAAAAGAUGAGUUUUGCGAAAGAGUUUCUAAAACAUGAUUAGUAUGACAAUCGAGUAUGUUAUCAAUGUUUAAACAGUAUGGUCUCUAGAUAUACCAUCAAUGUUUAUGAAGUAUGACUUCUCGAGUCAUCAAUGAUCAUAUUAAAAUAUGGUUUUGAUAUGUUUCUUUUUUUUUAAAACAGUUUUCAAGAGCAAUUACCUCUUUUAAGAGGGUAGUUUUGAGUAAUUUUCUCAAACUAAAUAAAGAAGUUUGUUUUAAAGCUUAUGAGCUAAAGUAUAUUUUUGGGAGUAGUCUUGAGCACCGAAGUGGGUAUACGAGUUCAUAUUAACUCAACUCUCCAUAAGAACCAUGUGGCCAACAUGAGAUUUAACGGGUCAUACUUUUUAAAUGAUCACGUAAGUUAAGCUAGUGGAUCCACUAAGUUAAAGUUAAAGUAAGGUCCUAUAUCACGGCAAGGUAUAGGAUGGUCCUUGGGCAACGUGAGGUAAAACGUUGUAUCAUCACUAGGGCUCAUAGUGGUGGUGAUCGGUUAGAGAAACUCCCAUAGUAGAAAUGGUUCCUCGAGGGGUUCUGCUUAGUAUGGAUGGGGGUAUGGGACUUCACUCAUACAUUGCACAAGUAGACCUUGAAAGGAAGCAUGGUAUUUUAUGAUAUUAUAANNNNNNNNNNNNNNNNNNNNNNNNNNNNNNNNNNNNNNNNNNNNNNNNNNNNNNNNNNNNNNNNNNNNAUGGGGGUAUGGGACUUCAUUCAUGCAUUGCACAAGUAGACUUUGAGAGGGAGCGUGAUAUUUUUAUGAUAUUAUAAAUGUGAUUUUUGACGUCAUGUUUUAAUAGUUUUACAAGCUUUAUAUAUUGCAUGUGCGUUAUUGCUUUAUAUUGAGUUUGGUUAUUCAUGAGUGUCUGUCCCAACAUCCAUCUCAGUAUGUUAGUGGCUUCAUAGACAGUCAGUCAGUUAGUAUUGAGUCUCUCAUCUAUGCAUAUAUAAAUAUUCUAUUUUGAGACGAGUUGCCUAUUGGCCAGAUUUUAUCAGUUGGGUUGCUUUAUGACCUUUCUUUGCAUUGAGUUAUUCUGUUGAGUUAGGUUUCCGCUGAGUUAAGAAAGUCAGGCCAAGGGUUCACUUGGGGUCAGCAAUGGUCUUCGAAUGUCGGUCCCGCCCAGGGUGUAGGCUCGGGGCGUGACAGAAACCUACUUAUUCUCCGAAAAAGCAUUUUUCAAAAAGACAUUUUAGAGGCAUUGUUAUCAUUUGGUAGAUCCAGGUUCAUGGCCUAUUUCUAUGGAACACAUUCUCCAUAGUACCGAACACAGUCUCAGAACUUUGUUUGUUGAUAUCCACUGUUAUGGACCUCACUUGUGGAAUUUCAUUGGAUGUGUUGUUGAUGUUUGAGUUGAUAUGCCGUGCUGAAAAUCUUUGUGGGUAGGAGGGAGUAUAAGAAUGAUCCACAACUCCCGGCAACGAUGUAAUAAGAAAUUUGUUUGUUAUGUAUAAAAGAAUUAUCCCGAACCUGGCCUUUUUUCAUAAAAUUCAGAACCUAUAAUUUUUUAAUCUUCCCGGGGUCCCCUUUUUCUAUAGAUUGAAUUAUCAUAAUAUUUUAUGACAAAAUAUUGUAAAGGUGUAUGAAAUGGUAUAUUGCUCAAAAUCAUGGUAAUACCAUUUAUUUAUAACUUUAAAAUUUUGAAUUGUACUAAUUGAAUAUAUUAAUUUCACAAUGUACUUUUAUUUAGUUCAAAGUUUUCCUCGUUGUACUUUAAGCUUUGGAGUGUAAUGUUUUUCCGCAUUUUAUGAGGUGCUAAGAUUAGAAAAAGGCAUAAUACAUGAAUAGACGAUAUUCAAAUUUGGUCUUAAUUAAAUUCUCCAAUUUAUAAAUUGAUCACUUAGACUCUUCCAAUAAUUAUUUAUUACAUCAAUGUAGGGUGUUCACGAAAUACGAGAUACAGUGAAGCCAAAUUAAAAUAUUUAGAUGUACACUUCCACAAGAAGGUUAACCAAAAUGAAAGGGAAGUUUCCCAACAUAUUUUUUCUUAGAUAUGUCUCAUUCACUUUUACCUUUACUUUUACUUUUACGGUUACUCUUUUUUUUGUGUGUUAUAUUUGAAUUUGACAUACCACUAAAAAUAUUAUUGGGACUUCUUUUAUAUUUGUCCUUUCUUAUUGAGUAUGCUAAAGUAUACACUUAAAUUUGUAUAAAAUUAAAUAAAUAGACAUGGCGUCUUACAUGAAAAUUUGUGUCCUAUAUGUAUUACGUCACAUAAAAUGAGUAUGUCUACUUGUUCAAUUUUAUACAAGUUUAAGUGUUUAUUUGUACACAUCUAAAGUUGGAGGACAUAGAUGUCAGCAAAAACCAAGUUAAAUGACAUAUAUUUUUUUUUAUAUCUUUAGAAAUAUUCAAAAGAAUAAUAGUGAAAAGUAAAUUUUGAUUUUUGUCUUUAAAUUUAAGCGGUACAAACUUCUUUUCUUAUACAACUAGGAUAACAGUUCUCUCUUGAUAUGUCACCUCUUUCACAUUAAUUGUCGUCCUAACUCUUUGUUUAAACUUCUUUGUUGGCAUCUCAAAGUCAAUCAUUCUUUGAAUCUCUUUCACAUUUUUAAGUGAAUUGAAAUAAAUGGACAAAAUUCAUUUAGGAGUCAUUUGCAAAUCAGAUUGUAGUUGGAUGAGAAUGUUGAAUAUUACAGAUUGAUAGUAGUGUCUAAGGUGACUGUUAUAUACAAAUACUUUAAGAACAAACUUUUUUCUUACAUAACGAACGCAAGAAAAUAAGUAAGAAAUCUACUUAUUCUCCGGAAAAACAUUUUCCAAAAAGACAUUUUAGAGGCAUUGUUAUCAUUUGGUAGAUCCAGGUCCAUUGCCGAUUUCUAUGGAACACAUUCUCCAUGGUUCCGAACACACUCUCAGAACUUUGCUCGUUGAUAUCCACUGUUACGGACCUCACUUGUGGAAUUUCAUUGGAUGUGUUGUUGUUGUUUGAGUUGAUAUGCCAUGCUGAAAGUCUUUGUUGUUGUUUGAGUUGAUAUGCCAUGCUGAACGCUUUAUAUGGGCAACAGUAACAGCGAAGUGUUCAAGCUCAUGUGCAUCGCAAAGGCGGCAAACAAACCAGAGAACCAUUCCUAAGAACUUGUUAUUAUGUACUGUGGGCAUAGUCAAACAAAUAAGAUAAAAGAAUUUACUGACUUUAUUUCCUUGUAGAACAUCUCGGACUUAUUGAGGUUUGAACAAUCUACUCAAUUUUCUAGAGUCUCGAGGUGAUUCCAUACGAACAAUUUCUCUUCCCAUAUCUCGCACUAGAUCAUGCAUCACCAAAUAACGCCAAUCCCUUUGGAGAAAGUUCCUUUGGACUAAGGUUGAAAUUGCACUUUCAGAAUAAAAACCACACGCGUUUAAUGUUUUGAUAACUUCAUCCUCAAAAAAUUCAUGGAAGGCACACGCAAUAUCAAGGAAAACACUUUGAGUAUCACAAUCAAGUCCGUCAAAGCUUAUCUUGAGGAUCUUUUGAAUAUCACAAUGAGGAAUUGCUCUUAGUUUUUUGAACUCGUAUCUCCAUUCUUUAACGGAUCUCCCUCACAAUCAAGUCCGUCAAAGCUUAUCUUGAGGAUCUUUUGAAUAUCACAAUGAGGAAUUGCUCUUAGUUUUUUGAACUCGUAUCUCCAUUCUUCUACGGAUCUCCCUUGUAAAUGUGACCCCAAUGUCACAAGAGCUAACGGUAGCCCACCUGAAUAUUUGAUUAUGCUUUGUGCAACCUCAACAUAUUCUUGUGGCGGAGAAGGACUACUAAAAGCAUGACAAGAAAAAAGUUGUUGAGCUUCAUCUUGAUUUAAAUGUUUUGCCUUGUAUCUCUCGUUUUCUCUAAUCCGAGAUAGCAAAUGCUUGUCUCGGGUUGUAAUAAUUAUUAAACUACCAGAACCAAACCAACUUCUUUCUCUUGUUAAGGAUUCUAAUUGGCUCAUAUAAUCCACGUCAUCAAGAAUAAUUAGAACCUUCUUUGACCCAAGUCUUGCUUUGAUUAGAUUGAUGCCUUCAGCAACACUGGUAACUUUGACGUCCUUAGUUUUGAGAAUUUGAUUUAGUAGUUUUUCUUGUAACUUGACUAAACCAAAUGCUUCAGCUUCUGAUCUAACAUCUGAAAGGAAGCAACUAAUAUCAAAGUGUCGAAAUAUUUGAUUGUAGAUAGCUUUAGCCAGAGUUGUUUUUCCUAUUCCACCUACGCCAUAUAUACCAACCAUGCGAACUUCAUCUACACAUCCUUUUUGGAGUAACAACUCUAUAUCUUCGACACGAGAAUCUACUCCAACAGGAUGCCAAGCAAUAUCUAGAGGUGUCUGGUUUACCUCUAGUAGAACUUGUUUUACAAUACUUUCAAUAAAUUUUGAUUCAUGUCUGCAUAUUAGCAAAAACAAAAGUUAGAAUAAAAAAAACAACUUUGAUGUGUGGAAAAAAAAUAAUUGAUAACCAACUUAUGACUUUUGACUGAUAAGUCAGUUUGACCAGUUUAUAAAUAUUACCCGUCAACAACAUUUCGCAAAUCCCAUCCAGAUAAAUUUGCGCUAAUUCAGUAAGUGAAUCCGUCCAUUUUUUCAUUCUCUCAACCUCGAAUGAUCGCUCCUUAAGCAUAGCUAAAACUUCACCAAAGUAUCCGGUUUGCUUGCGUACAUGAGAAGGAUGAACAUCAUAGAAAAUAGGCAAAACUAUUUUCUUUAACUUGUCUUUGCAUUCGAGAAUUUUAACAAGUUCAUCAAGACACCAACUAGACGAAGCAUAAUUUUUCGAGAAAACAACAAUGGAAACUCUAGACUCUUCAAUUGCUUUCUCAAGUUCUUUUGAAAUCACCUUGCCUUUUCUUAAUUCCUCAUCAUCUAUGAAGGUAUUAAUUCCAACUUGACAUAAUCUGGAAUAAAGAUGACCUGUGAAGGUUUUUCGAGUAUCUUCACCUCUGAAACUCAGAAACACGUCAUAAGAGAAGUUGGAAGAAGUAGUUGAUGAUUCCCCUACAACAAAUUGAGUAUUCAUAUUUGAUGACUAAUAUAUGGAAGAAUGAGUAGCUAUCUAUAUAAUAUACCAUGCACAUGCUAUGGUUUUUUCUUGGUAACUUAACUAAUGCUAUAUAUUCUUUAAUUUAUUUUGUACAAUUAUUCUUCAUUAAAUUUUGUUAAUUGGGACUUUUUUUUUAAUGAUUCUUUACCUUUUGUCUCAUCUUUAAUUUGUUAAAGACUUGAAUGAUAAAAAGUAAGAUUCUUUCUUCCUUGAAAACUCAAAAGUUCAUCUCUCCACAUAAUUAUGAUGAUGUUAAGCUUGAUGUCAUAAUCUUUUAAUAAUGGAAUUGAAAACAUCGAUUUGUUCUCAAUUCACAAGUUGGAUUAAACUUUUUUUUCUUUUUUACCUAAUCAAGUAGUAUCGCAUAAAUUAUAACGAUAAUUUUUUAAAAGAAAUUAAAACACUUUGUAUUAAUAGUAAAAACUAGGAAACUUUGUCGUAAUAAAACUAACUACUAGUCUAUUGCAACUAUUAAACAAGUAAACAACUAAUAAAACUAAUUGGAUCACUCUUACUGAACCAUUGGUCUUAAUCCUAUACCUAUCAUACUGAUAUAGAGGUGAAUUCAGAACUUAAAAUUUAUGAAUUCUUAUAAAAAAUAAAUAAAUUUAUGAAUGAUAAUAAUUGAGUUCAUAAUCAAAUUAUAUUAAUUACUUAAUGAUUUUCUUAGUACAUAUAAAUAAUAUGAAUAAAAUCUAUUGAGUUCACACUAACCUCUCUAUAAUAAUCAAAUCAGUAAUUUUGAUCCAAAUUGAACUUUGUAUUUAUGAUAAUAAAUUUGUUUGUUAUGUGUAAAAAUAAUAUCCGGAACCCGAUCCGACCAGUAAAUGCUUUUUAUAAAAUUGAGAACCUAUAAAUAUAAAAUCGAAAUGCCAGUAGCAGUCAUAGUAUUUGGAACAAAGAAAAGCAAGGGAAUAACAAACCAUAUCUUCUGCUCCAACUUCACUUUCUUUAUAGUAUUUUUGAAAGGAAAAAAGGGAAUAGAAUUAAAUAUUAUCAGAAUGCCAACCAAAUAUUGAUUUUGUGCUCUAUCCUUACUGUGGGAAAAAAAAGAAAAUGUAAUUUAUUUGUGCAGUUUUUUAAUCUUCCAGGCGUCCCAUUUUUCUAUGGAUUGAAUUAUCAUAAUAUUUUAUGACAAAAUACUGUAAAAUGGUGUAUGACUGUAUGGGAAAUAUAAUAUUUGUAUAUUCCUCAAAAUCAUGAUAAUACCAUUUGUUUCUAACUUUUUAAUUGUACUAAUUGAAUAGAUUAAUUGUACAAUAUACUUUUGUUUAGUUCAAAGUUUUCCUCUUUGUACUUUAAGCUUGUGUGUCACGUCAGUAUAGGGUGUCCACGAGACACAUUAAGGGUGAGUUGGAGUGUUUAGCUGUUAGUUGAGAUGUCUAUAUGUACACUUUUAAUUAGUUACGCUUGCGAAAUUUUAAUUGGAUGACAAAACUAGGAUCGAAGUUUCGAGUGGUUAGCAUCUGACGGAUGAAAAAAAAAUCUAAAUGAAAAAUACUUUUUAGCGAAUCAGCUUGUAGUUGGAUGAGAAUUUUGAAUAUUACAGAUUGAUAGUAGUGUCUUAGGUGUUAUAUACAAAUACUUUAUGAACAAACGUUUUUCUUACAUAACGAUCACAAGAAAAUAAGUAAGAAACCUACUUAUUCUCCGGAGAAACAUUUUCCAAAAAGACAUUUUAGAGGCAUUGUUAUCAUUUGGUAGAUCCAGGUCCAUGGCCUACUUCUAUGGAACACAUUUUCCAUGGUACAUAACACAUUCUCAGAACUUUGCUCGUUGAUAUCCACUAAUACGGACCUCACUUGUGGGAUUUCACUGGAUGUGUUGUUGUUGUUUGAGUUGAUAUACCAUGCUGAAAGUCUUUGUGGGUAGGAGGGAGUAUAAGAAUGAUCCACAACUGCCGGGAAAGAAGUAACAUUACCAUGUUGAUCUACAUAUAAUAGACGUACUCCUAUCUUCUUUACAACGGCUCCGCCAGUGCGAUCCUCUACUGUUAUCUGUUCCCCGCCUUUGAUCUUCAGGCCAUUAAAAGGUCUAUUGUUUGAGUAAGAGAAGUAAUAUACACGUGAUAUUUCUCCCUGACUGUCAGGUAUAUUAAAAUGCGAACUCCACCAAAAAGUUGAAGACUCUACAUGGGCAACAGUAACAAUGAAGCUUUGAAGAUAGGAGGAUACAUUGCCAAAGUGGCAAACAAACCAGAGAACCAUUCCCAAGAACUUAUUAUUAUGUACUGUGGGCAUAGUCAAACAGAUAGAUGGAGCUGUUACUUUAUUGCUGCACCAAUCUGGAAUCUCAUUGCUUUCGAGAUUAAUUUGUAAUGACAUCUUCAUCAGACAAAUUAAGACACAAUUAGAUCAUUAAUUAUUAAUGUGAUACGAGGGAGAGAUCAGAGAGGGAGAGGGACUAACCUUAUACCGUUGAUGUUUUCUAGACGGAAUUGAUAGAGCAUGGGCACUAAAGAAGCCUUCAUUGAAUGGAUUCUGCAGACGAGUACAAUUAAUCAUGUCCACCUUCUCUAUUGAAGGGAGGUAGUCCGACCCUGUAAUCUUGACCAGUUUUUGGCAAUUCCUAAGUUCAACAAUUGCAAGGUGCUCUAAAUUUGAUAUUGACGGGAGUGUUUGAAGGUUCUCACAAUCAUUCAAAUAUAAGGACGUCAACAAUGGUAACUUGGAAAAAUCAAAGGGUAGAUAGAGGAAACUGUUGCCGCUCAAAUCUAAAAAAUAUAAGUUGGAUAAACUCCCAAUAUCCCUAGGAACAUCAGCCUCCGAGAAACCACAAUAUGAAAGGCGUAGAUUCAAAAUAAAUUUUGACAAGGACACUAUGGGGCGUACUCUUCUUUGAGAAAAACUCCUUUUGGCCUUUAAGUAUUGGCCUCCCAUUUCCAAUUCUACAAGAUUUCGUAGCAUUUCAACAGAUCCAGGCAAUUGUUUUAUACCUGUUUCACGUGCAUUAAGAUAUCUUAGGCUUUGCAUAGCUCCAAUGUUAACUGGCAGUGUUUGUAAAGACGAGCAGUCAUUAAUGUACAAGGUUUUAAGGGAUUUUAGCUGGCAUAUGCUGCUCGGAAGAUCCGUAAUAUUUUUUGCAACCAUUCAAUUGAAGAUCAGUUAGUCUGUCCAAAUUUCCUAUUGAUGGAUGGAUCUCCUUCAGACUUGAAGCAAUUCUCAAGCAACAAAGUCUCGAGACUUCGUGAACCGUUGAAGUUUGGAGUUUUUCUGAGGCGCUUGCAAUCAGAGAGAUCCAGCAUUUUCAAAUUUCUACAAUACUAAAAGUAAACAAAAUAUUGUUUCAAUUAAGAUUUUCUUUCCCUUAAACAUUACACAUAAAUUUGCAAAAUUGAGUAACGAACCUGCAAAUUCAAACCAAAUUCUAGGAUAUUGCUCCCUUUCAUAUUCAGAAAUACAAGUUUCUCAGAUGGAAAAUUUGAUGGUACACAUUUUAAAGGACAUCCUUUCCAAGACAGCCAUCUGAGCUCCUUGGACAAUAGCUCAAAAUCUCCACUAAUAUGUAAAGUCGUCGAUUUUUAAGCACCCUAAGAUUUAUCAUUUUCUGAAAUGCUUUUGGUGUUCAGCUUCACACCCUUUAAUGCCUGUCGUUCUACCACCAAUAUUUCUACAUUUUUAGAACCCUACAGUUUAGUAAAAAGAAAAGUACUAUAAGACCAUGUUAAGUAUGAUAAAUUAAGAAAGAGAAAUGCUUUAUACAAAUUGAAGGUCAAACAAAUAGAAUAAAUUAUGUACCAAUAAAAAAAAAAUUACACAUUAUAUCCAACUAAAGGAUGUUUAUUUGAUAAUUUUGUCUUUGAUAGUUUGUUUAGACUUCAGUAAAUGUUCAUUUCAAGUACAGAAUGGUUCAAACAUCUAAAGAUACUUACUAACGGGAGAAGAUUUAAGCACAAAUGCAUAAAUUAUAAGCAAAUGUAUAUCAAUAUGAAAAAAGAAGAAGAAGAAGUAUAACCAAGAUAAAGAUAAUGAAAUUUACUGACUUUAUUUCCUUGUAGGACAUCAAGGACUUCUUGAGGGUUGACCAAUCUACUCCGUUUUCCACUGUCUCGAGGUGAUUCCAUGCGAACGAUUUCUCUUCCCACAUCCUGCACUAGAUCAUGCAUCACCAAACGACGCCGAUCCCUUUGGAGCAGGUGUCUUUUGACUAGAGUUACAAUUGCACUUUCACAAUACAAACCACAGGCGUUUAAUGUUUUGGUAACUUCAUCCUCAUCACAUCCAUGGAAGGCGCACGCAAUAUCAAGGAAAACAUUCUGAGUAUUGUCAUCAAGUCCAUCAAAGCUUAUUUGGAGAAUCUUUUGAAUAUCAAAAUGAGGAAUUGUUCUUAGUUUUUCGAACUCGUAUCUCCAUUCUUCAACGGAUCUCCCUUGUAAAUGUGACCCCAAUGUCACAAGAGCUAAUGGUAGCCCACCUGAAUAUUUAAUUAUGUUUUGGGCCAGCUCAACAUAUUCAUGUGGUGGAGAAAGACUGUUAAAAGCAUGACAAGAAAAAAGUUGUUGUGCUUCGUUGCCAUUUAAAAGUUUGGCCCGGUAUAUCUCAUUUGUUGUAAGACCAUAAAGCAAAUGCUCGUCUCGGGUUGUAAUAAUUAUAACACUACCAGAACCAAACCAAUUUCUUUCUCUUGUUAAGGAUUCUAAUUGGCUUCUAUGAUCCACAUCAUCAAGAACAAUUAGAACCUUUUGGGACCCAAGUCUUGCUUUGAUGAGAUUAACACCUUCAGCAACACUAUCAACUUCAAAUUCCUUAGUUUUGAGGAUUUGAUGAAGUAGUUUCUCUUGAAGCUUGAUUAGACCCAAUUCUUCAGCUUUUGAUCUAACAUCUGAAAGGAAGCAACUACCACCAAACUGUAGAAAUAUUCUAUUGUAGAUGGCUUUUGCUAGAGUUGUUUUUCCAAUUCCACCAACGCCACAUAUACCAACCAUUCGAACUUCAUGCUCACAUCCACUUUGCAUUAACAACAAUAUAUCUUUGAUAGGAGAAUCUAAUCCAAUUGGAUAAUGAGCAACAUCUAGAGGUGUCUGGUUGACUUCUUGCAGAACUUGUUUUAUAAUACUUUCAAUAAAUUUUGAUUCAUGCCUACAGUUUUUUUAGCAAAAACAGUAAAAAACAAAACUUUGAUAUUUGAAAAUAUAUGAUGAACAAAACAAAAUCCAUAGCCAACAGAUAACAGGGAAAUCGAGGGUAGAGAAUGGAGAUUAUCAAUUACUAUUACUCCCUCGUUCCAAUUUAUGUGAUGCAGUCUGAUUUGGCACGGAGAUUAAGAAAUAUAAAAAGAAUUUGCAAUGUUCCAAAACUAACCAACUUAUAAGCUUAGGCAAAUGCUUAAAUUCAAAAUUCUAAAGUUGAAUUAAGAAGUGUUACCCAUCAGCAACAUUUCUCAAAUCCCAUCCAGAUAAAUUUGCUGCUUCAGUAAGUGCAGCUUUCCACUUUUCCAUUCUUUCAGUUCCAAUUGAUCGUUCCUUGUGUUUUGCCAAAGCUUCGCCAAAGGAUCCAGUUUGUCUUCGUACUUGAGAAGGAUCAACAUCAUAGAAAAUAGGCAAAACUAGCUGAUUUAACCUCUCUCUGCAAUCGAGAAUUUUGACAAGUUCAUCAAGACACCAACUAGAGGAAGCAUAAUUUUUGGAGAAAACAACAAUGGCAACCCUAGAUUGUUCAAUUGCUUUCUCAAGUUCAAUUGAAAUGACGUCUCCCUUUCUCAAUUCCUCAUCAUCUAUGAAAGUAUUAACUCCGACUUGACAUAAUCUGAAAUAAAGAUGACCGGUAAAGUUGUUUCUGGUAUCUUCACCUCUGAAACUGAGAAACACAUCAUAAGAGAAGUUGGAAGAAGAAGAUGAUUCUCCUUGAGUAUUCAUAUUUGAUGACAAUAAAUGGAAGAAUUAAGCGAUUUUUAGUUGAAUGAAAGAAAAGAUGAGUGAAGCAGUUACAGGUAAUUGUUUGUUCCUGGAAACUCAAUUUUGGGUCAACUCAUUUACAAUCCCUAAAGAAAGUUAAUCGAAACGAAAGGGAAGUUCCCAGCAUAUUUCUUAGAUAGUUCACGUGUCUAUAUUAAAAGUAGAUAUAUUUACAUAAAUUUAGAUGGCAAAAAGUAAUCUCUUUCUCUUAAUUAAUUACUUCUCCACUUUUGAAUUGACACACCUGAGUAUUAAGAAAACAAUAAGAAGUAGUAGAAAUAAUUAGGGAUGAUAAUGAGAUAGCGUGGAUGAAAGGUAGGGCGGAUUAAAGGUUAUAUGGGGCGGGGGCGGGGAGCUUUUAAGGUUGUAUGGGGUUGGGUGGAUGCAAAUUAAUGUGAGGCGGUGCGAUUUGUGGGUUCAUGUGAUUUUAUACGGAUUCAAAUUUAAUUUUAAUUGUAUAGGUUAUAAGAGUGAUGAAGCUUUCACGGAUAAAAAUACACAUGAUUUGGUAGUUAAACUAUUAGUAUUAGGAUUAGGAUAAAAUAAAGAGAAUAAUCUUGCCCUUUGUCUUGUAUUGUGUUAUAAUUCAUAUAAAAAAAUUUAUCUGAUUUGGAGUCUACUCAAUUUUCAAAAGAAAAAAAAAACUUUAAUUCAUGAUGUGCACUUUAUUUAUGCUUUUAUUUGCAUCUACUUAUUUUGACCCAACGAAAAUGAAUUUUGUUAUUUAUGCUCUGCAUAAAUUGCAUCUAGUUAAAAAGAAUUUUGAAAUAUUGAGUUUUAUGAAUUUGAUUUUAUUUUAUUUUCUACAAAAAUUGUGUGAUCAUUUGGUAAUGGCCAUUACUAUUGCUCAAAGAUUUUAAACAUGAAAUAUAACUAAUACAAUAAUAAUUUUAAUAUAGCUUACUAAAAUAUUCAAGAUAAUAAAUGAAAAUGAUUAGAGUUUUCGAUAAAACUCAUCCUCAAACUAUAGCCUAGAUUUUGGUUACAUCCUUGCAUUAUUAUAUUGAACAAAAAACAUCAUUCAUCUAUCUAAGAAGUUUCAAUAGUCAUCCUUCGGUUAAUUUUGGUAAAAAGUUAACUUGUUAUCGUCAAAAUAUGUGUAAAGCAUGUAGGUUUCCCUCUAAAUCUCCUAACCUAAAUCGUCUUCUCCACUAUAUUUUGAGCUAUUGCACUUUAGAUUUGUGUCAUAGUUGAAGGAUGAUUUCAGUAAAAAAUUUAAAAUAAUUUAAUUAAAAUUAAUACAAUUUCUUACCUACUUCCUAAUUGGGAACUUUGUAUUUAUGAUAAAGAAGUAUAAAAAAGUUAUCCCGAACCCGACCAGUAAAUGCUUUUUUAUAAAAUUUAGAACCUAUAGUUUUUUAAUCUUCCAGGGGUCCCAUUUUUCUAUGGAUUGAAUUAUCAUAAUAUUUUAUGACAAAAUACUGUAAAAUGGUGUAUGAUUGUAUGGCAUAUAUACCAUUUGUAUAUUCCCCAAAAUCAAUGAUAACCAUUUGUCUCUAACUUUAAUUUUGAAUUGUACUAAUUGAAUAUAUUAAUUGUACAAUAUACAUUUAUUUAGUUCAAAGAUUUCCUCUUUGUACUUUAAGCUUUGGAGUGUAUUGUUUUCCGCAUUUUAUGAAGUGUUACUAUUAGAAAAAAAGGCAUAAUACAUAAACAUGUGAUAUUCAAAUUUGGUCUCAGUUAAAUUCUCCAAUUUAUAAAAUGAUCAUUUAGAUUCUUCCAAAAUUAUUUGUUAUGUUAAUGUAGGAUGUCCACGAGAUACAUUGAGGCCAAGUUGGAGUGUUUAGCUGUUAGUUAAUAGCAAGUUAAAAUAUCUAGACGUGCACUUUCAAAGUUAGAGACUGAUUUUAUGUUGUUUUUUAUUUGUGUGUCUAAUUAUGAUGUUUUAUUUAUAUGGUUUGAUUUGUGAAUGAAUUUUGAUUUUGCUCAUGUUAUUGUUGAUGGAUUCAUUUUCAGUCACUACUUAAUUAGUUACUAGAUGUGGAUUAAGAUUUUGAGUUUGUAAGUUCUAGAUCUCAACCGAUCAUUUUUGAAGUUUGUUGGAAUGUCAUAACAUAAAUACAUGAUUUGAAUCAAAGUUAUUGAGUUUGAUCAAACCCGUAGAUCCUAUACACGGUGGAUGAGUGAAGCAGAAAUAAUUGGACAAAAUUCAUUUAGGAGUCAUUUGCAAAUGAGAUUGUAUUUGGAAGAGAAUUUUGAAUAUUACAUAUUGAUAGUAGUGUCUAAGGUGUUAUAUACAAAUACUUUUAGAACAAACUUUUUUCUUACAUAAUGAACACAAGAAAAUAAGUAAGAAAACCUACUUAUUCUCCGGGGAAACAUUUUCCAAAAAGACAUUUUAGAGGCAUUGUUAUCAUUUGGUAGAUCCAGGUCCAUGGCCUAUUUCUAUGGAACACAUUCUUCAUGGUACCGAACACAAUCUCAGAACUUUGUUCGUUGAUAUCCACUGUUACGGACCUCACUUGUGGGAUGUGUUGUUGUUGUUUGAGUUGAUAUGCCCGAAAGUCUUUGUGGGUAGGAGGGAGUAUAAGAAUGAUCCACAACUCCCGGCAAAGAUGUAACAUUACCAUGUUGGUCCAAGUAUAACAGAUGGAUCCCUAUCUUCUUUACUAGUCUCUGUCAGUUUCAUUCUUUACUGUUAUCUGUUCCCCACCUUUGAUGUUCAGGCCUUUAAAAGGUCUAUCAUUUACGGAAGAUAAGUAAUAUACACAUGAUACUUCUCCGUGACUGUUAGGUCUAUCAAAAGGCCAAAUCCACGGAAAACCUGUACUCUUUUUAUGGGCAACAGUAACAGCGAAGUGUUCAAGAUCAUGUACAUCGCAAAGGCGGCAAACAAACCAGAGAACCAUUCCUAAGAACUUGUUAUAAUGUACUGUGGGCAUAGUCAAACAGAUAGAUGGAGCUGUUACUUUAUUGCUGCACCAAUCUGGAAUCUCAUUGCUUUCGAGAUUAAUUUGUAAUGACAGCUUCAUCAGACAAAUUAAGACACAAUUAGAUCAUUAAUUAUUAAUGUGAUACGAGAGAGAUCAGAGAGGGAGAGGGACUAACCUCAUACCGUUGAUGUUCUCUAGACGGAAUUGAUAGAGCAGGGGCACUAAAGAAGCCUUCACUGAAUGGAUUCUGCAGACGAGUACAAUUAAUCAUGUUCAUCUUCUCUAUUGAAGGGAGGUUGUCCAACCCUGCAAUCUUGACCAGUUUUUGGCAAUUCCUAAGUUCAACAAUUUCAAGGUACUCUAAAUUUGAUAUUGACGGGAGUGUUUGAAGGUUCUCACAAUCAUUCAAAUACAAGGACAUCAACAAUUGUAACUUGGAAAAAUCAAAGGGUAGAUAGAGGAAACUGCUGCCGCUCAAAUCUAAAUGAUAUAAGUUGGAUAAACUCCCAAUAUCCCUAGGAACAUCAGCCUCUGAAAAACCACAAUAUGGAAGGCAUAGAAUCGAAAUAAAUUUUGACAAGGAUACUAUAGGGCGUACUCUUGUUUGAGAAAACCUCCUUUUGGUCUCAAAGUAUUGACCUCCCAUUUCCAAUUCUAUAAGAUUUCCUAGCAUUUCAACAGAUCCAGGCAAUUCUUUUAUACCUGUUUCACGUGCAUUAAGAAAUCUUAGGCUUUGCAUAUCUCCAAUGUCAACUGGCAGUGUUUGUAAAGAUGAGCAGUCAUUAAUGUACAAGAUUUCAAGGGAUUUUAGCUGACAUAUGCUGCUCCAAAGAUCAGUAAUCUUUUUGCAACCACUCAAUCGAAGACAAAUUAGUCUGUCCAAAUUUCCUAUGGAUGGAUGGAUCUCCUUCAGACUUGAGCAAUUCUCAAGCCACAAAGUCUCGAGACUUCGUGAACCGUUGAAGUUUGGAGUUUUUCUGAGGCGCUUGCAAUAAGAGAGAUCCAGCAUUUUCAAAUUUCUACAAUACUAAAAGUAAACAAAACAUAGUUUCAAUUAAGAUUUUCUUUCUCUUAAACAUUACACAUAAAAUUGCAGAAUUGAGUAACGAACCUGCAAAUUCAAACCAAAUUCUUGGAUAUUGCUCCCUUUCAUAUUCAGAAAUACAAGUUUCUCAGAUGGAAAAUUUGAUGGUACACAUUUUAACGGACAUCCUUUCCAAGACAACCAUCUGAGCUCCUUGGACAAUAGCUCAAAAUCUCCACUAAUAUGUAAGUGGUCUAUUUUAAGCACCCUAAGAUUUAUCAUUUUCUGAAAUACUUUGGUGCUUAGCUUCACACCCUUUAAUGCUUGUCGUUCUACCACCAAUAUUUCUACUUUUUUAGAACCCUGCAAUUUAGUAAAAAUAAAAGUACUAUAAGACCAUGCUUAAGUAUGACAAAUUAAGAAAGAGAAAUGCUUUAUACAAAUUGAAGGUCAAACAAAUAGAAUAAAUUAUGUACCGAUAAAAAUAAAUUUACACAUUAUAUCCAACUAAAGGAUAUUUAAUUGAUAAUUUUGUCUUUGACAGAUUGAGUGUUUAGACUUCAGUAAAUGUUCAUUUCAAGUACAGAAUGGUUCAAACAUCUAGAGAUACUUACUGGCCGGAGAAGAUUUAAGCACAAAUGCAUAAAUUAUAAGCAAAUGUAUAUCAAUAUAAAUGUAAAAAAGAAGAAGAAGUAUAACCAAGAUAAAGAUAAUAAAAUUUACUGACUUUAUUUCCUUGUAGAACAUCAAUGACUUCUUGAGGGUUGAACAAUCUACUCCGUUUUCCAGGGUCUUGAGAUUCCAUGCGAACGAUUUCUCUUCCCAUUUCCUGCACUAGAUCAUGCAUCACCAAACUAGACCAAUCAUCCCUUUGGAGCAAGUUCCUUUGGACUAAGGUUGAAUUGAACUUUCAGAAUAAAAACCACACGCAUUUAAUGUUUUGGCAACUUCAUCCUCAUAACAACCAUGGAAGGCACAUGCGAUAUCAAAGGAAAACACUCCGAGUAUUGACAUCAAGUCCAUCAAAGCUUAUCUUGAGAAUCUUUUGAAUAUCACCAUGAGGAAUUGCUUUUAGUUUUUUGAACUCGUAUCUCCAUUCUUUAACGGAUCUCCCUAGCAGAUGUGACCCCAAUGUCACAAGAGCUAAUGGUAGCCCACCUGAAUAUUUUAUUAUGUCUUGUGCCAGUUCAACAUAUUCUUGUGGUGGAGAAAAACAGUUAAAAGCAUGACAAGAAAAAAGUUGUUGGGCUUCAUUGUCAUUUAAAAGUUUGGCCCGGUAUAUCUCACUUGUUGUAAGCCCAUAUAGCAAAUGUUCAUCUCGGGUUGUAAUAAUUAUUACACUACCAGAGCCAAACCAACUUCUUUCUCUUGUUAAGGAUUCUAAUUGGCUUCUAUGAUCUACGUCAUCAAGAACAAUUAGAACCUUUUGAGACCCAAGUCUUGCUUUGAUGAGAUUAGCACCUUCAGCAACAUUAUCAACUUCAAAUUCCUUAGUUUUGAGGAUUUGAUUAAGUAGUUUCUCUUGAAGCUUGACUAGACCAGAUUCUUCAGUUUUUGAUCUAAUGUCAGAAAGGAAGCAACUACCAUCAAACUGUUGAAAUAUUCGAUUAUAGAUAGCUUUUGCCAAAGUUGUUUUUCCAAUUCCACCAACGCCACAUAUACCAACCAUGCAAACUUCAUGCUCACAUCCACUUUGCAGUAACAACUCUAUAUGUUUGAUAGGAGAAUCUAAUCCAGUUGGGUAAUGAGCAACAUCUAGAGGUGUCUGGUUAACCUCUCGCAGAACUUGUUUUAUAAUAUUUUCAAUAAAUUUUGCUUCAUGCCUACAGUUUUUGCAACAAUAAAUACUUAGGUAUUUAAAAAUAUUUGAUGAACAAAAUAAAAAUCAAUAGCCAAAAGAUAAAAGAGUUUAUAGAAUGGAGAAUAUAUUCCUUGUCCCUAUCUAUAUGACACAGUUUGAUUUGACACAAAAUUUAAGAAAUAUAGAAAGACUUUACAAUGUUCCAAAAUUAACCAAGUUAUAAGCUUAGGCAAACGCUUAAAUUCAAAAUUUAAUAGUUGAAUUAAGAAGUCUUACCCAUCAGCAACAUUUCUCAAAUCCCAUCCAGAUAAAUUUGCUGCUUCAGUAAGUGCAGCUUUCCACUUUUCCAUUCUUUCAGCUCCAACAAAUCGUUCCUUAUGUUUUGCCAAAGCUUCGUCAAAGGAUCCAGUUUGCCUUCGCACUUGAGAAGGAUCAACAUCAUAGAAAAUAGGCAAAACUACCUGAUUUAACCUCUCUUUGCAAUCGAGAAUUUUGACAAGUUCAUCAAGACACCAACUAGAGGAAGCAUAAUUUUUGGAGAAAACAACAAUGGCAACCCUAGACUGUUCAAUUGCUUUCUCAAGUUCAAUUGAAAUGACGUCUCCCUUUCUCAAUUCCUCAUCAUCUAUGAAAGUAUUAACUCCAACUUGACACAAUCGGAAAUAAAGAUGACCUGUGAAGUUUUUCCGAGUAUCUUCACCUCUGAAACUGAGAAACACAUCAUAAGAUAAGUUGGAAGAAGAAGAUGAUUCUCCUACAACAAAUUGAGUAUUCAUAUUUGAUGACAAUAAAUUAAAGAGAUUUUUAGUCAAUUUUUUGCUUAAUUAAUUAAAUAGAGAUGUGAAGCAGCUAUUUAUAUACCCACAAGUACUUGUUUGUUCCUGGAAAUUUAAUUUUGGGUCAAGUCAUUUACAAGCCCCAAAGAAGGUUUACAGAAAUGAAAGGGAAGUUUCCAAGACAUAAUAUGUCUAUUCACUUUUAUUUGUCCAGCUAUUAAAAGUAGAUAUACAAUUUACUUUCAUUUCCUUCGUAGAUUUUUACUCAUUCACACUAUUAAAAAUAAUGAUCAUUUUUAUAAUGUAUUUUUUCAUCAUAUUAAUAUGCAAAAAAUUGUAAUUUAUAAUUUUUUUAUAGUUUUUGAAUAUUUAAAUUUUUUGUUUAAAAUAUCAAAUUAAUACAAUCUAAUUUAAUUUUGAAAAUUAAUUAAAUUGACUUUCGAAAAUGACAAUAUGAUAUAAAUGAGAGAAUACCAAAAGAGCUGGCAAAUUUCCACCAAAACUUCGCAAGUGGAAAUUAUUAUUAUCUUAAAGUUAUGAACUCACAUCUACAAUUAUUAUUUAGUUUAUUAUAUUUAAAUAAAAAAGAGGAAAAGUCGGAAGUUGUAAAAUUUUAAAUGACAAGUAGAAUGUUUCAACAUGAAUUUAUGAUACUUUAAUAAGCAAUAUUCGUUCUGUAAUAAAUUAAUCGCAAAGAAUUGAUUAGGAAUUUGGUUGAAAAUAGAAAUGGUCCAAUUCAAGAUGAAACUAUUAGAAUUGACCUUUGGUGAGGAAGUAAAUUAAAUUACUCCCUUCGUCUAUUUUUAUUUGUCUAGUAUUAACUCAUGCAAUAAAUAAAACAAAAACAUGAUCGUAUUUGUUCCUGUAUUCUAACAAAAAAGUUAUAUUAUUUGUCAUUUGUUAUACUUCAGAGUCAUAUUUAUCCUUGAGACAUUAAAUCUCCAUGACCCGCCUUAAUUUAACGCAGAAUAGGACGAACACUCUUCUCCAAAGUCCAAGCUAAGACUGUUUCCAUUACUAAAAAUCAAUAAAUUACACAGUUCGAUCACUUACAAUGUUCUCUGGUAUUGUAGGUUAAUCAGAGAGACACUAUAUUCACUAUACAAAGAAAAAGUUGAUCAAUUUUUAAAACUAAGCUUUAGUGCAACUCUACAUACUAGCACUAUACAAUGGAAAAAUUGGUUACAUAAAUUAAACAAAAUUUUCUAUAGAAGCUACUGCUAUCGAAGCUCGAUGCUCCAUUGUUCAUACCUAAUAAUGGCUUUGUAGCCCUAUAAUAGUACACAUUCUACUACAUCCAUCUUCCCAUCUUCAUUGACAUCAUUUUCCUCUUCUUGUGGGCUUUAUGCUUUUCUGCAAUCCUCAGCCUCCUCUUGGCGUUUCUCAUUGGAUUGACCUUCUCUUCUUGUUUCCUCUUAUCCCUCUUCGAUUUGAUAUUCUUCCUUAUAUGACUGUAGAUUUGGACAAAAUAUGUGUUCCUAUAACAUUGCUUAUGCUCCCUCGCACUCCUUCAGCCAGUUGUUUCACGUCAUCUGUGGAGAUGAUGCAAACGUAAUGUCACGCCCCGAGCGUACACCCUGGGCAGGACCGGCACCCGGAGACCAUUUCUGGCCCCAAGCGAACCCUUGGCCUGGCUUUCUUAACUCAGCGGAAACCUAACCCAACAGAAUAACUCAAUGCAAUGCAAUAUUACAAAACAACUUAACUUAUAAAAUAUGGCCAUAAAGGCAACUCGAAUCUCAAAAUAGAAUAUUUACAUAUAUAUAUAGAUGAGAGACUCAAAACUAACUGACUGACUGUCUGUCUAUGAAGCCUCUAAAAUACUGAGAUGGAUGUUGGGACAGACCCCGCAACACCCUAAUAAGACAAAACUAAGAGAACAAAAUAACUAAGCCCUCCGGAAGCAAGGAGGCUCACACUGACUCUGGAGUGCUCAANNNNNNNNNNNNNNNNNNNNNNNNNNNNNNNNNNNNNNNNNNNNNNNNNNNNNNNNNNNNNNNNNNNNNNNNNNNNNNNNNNNNNNNNNNNNNNNNNNNNNNNNNNNNNNNNNNNNNNNNNNNNNNNNNNNNNNNNNNNNNNNNNNNNNNNNNNNNNNNNNNNNNNNNNNNNNNNNNNNNNNACAAGGAUACAAUAAGCCUGAGAUGUAUAUAGAAAUACAAUUAAACUGAUGUAUAUAAAAAAAUACAAUAAUCUCUGUGUAUGAAAAUACAAUAACUGCUGUGGGAGUUUCUCUAACNNNNNNNNNNNNNNNNNNNNNNNNNNNNNNNNNNNNNNNNNNNNNNNNNNNNNNNNNNNNNNNNNNNNNNNNNNNNNNACUUUGGCUCAUAUGUUUUAAAAACAAACUUCUUUCUUUAGUUUGAGAUAAUUGCUUAAAACCUAGCCCAAAGGCUCUCUUGGAAUCAAUGUUCCCUUUACUUUGCUCAAAUGUGAAAACAUUUAUAAACUUCUUUGGGAAUACUUAGUUCCCUAAUAGCUUUUGAGAAAUGAACUCAACUUUAUGCUCUUGACUUACUUGAAACUUGAGACUCUUUACUUAGCUUGAAACUUUAAACUCUUUACUUGACUUGACACUUGAGUCUAAAAAUGAAGUUAAAACGUUCAAUAAAGACUCUUGAACAACUUUGCAACUUGCUUACCUUGCUUAACUUCUAAGCUUAACUCUUAAUUUCUAACUUCACUUGACUUCUAACUAACUCUCCUUGAAUUGGAAUUUUGGAUUCAAGGUGUUUGAUCACAUGUUAUGGAUGAGUUCUUGACUUUUAGAAGUACCUUGGAGUGUUGGAAACAACUAGGAAACAUAGGUAUAAUACCUAGGAACAUGUAUGAAAAAAGUGGUGAAUGAAAGGGAAGGAUUGGUGUCCUUGGCACUAGGAGAGGUGCGACAGCCCAGCCCUUUGUUCCCCAAAAAUCCGACUUUUUCCCCUUGUUUCUUUCCAAUUCUAAACCCUCUCAACCUCAAGGUUUCAGCAACAACACUUAGAAUCAUAAAGACCCUUAUUAUACAAUAGAUUCAACUCAAAAAUCACAGCCGGAAAUUUGUACUAAACCAGCAAGAACUUCAACACAACACCACUACAACUUCAACAACCAAUAAAUCUUCUCUUGGAAUUAAAAACGAGUUGGUGUGUGGGGGUAUGAACCAACCAACNNNNNNNNNNNNNNNNNNNNNNNNNNNNNNNNNNNNNNNNNNNNNNNNNNNNNNNNNNNNNNNNNNNNNNNNNNNNNNNNNNNNNNNNNNNNNNNNNNNNNNNNNNNNNNNNNNNNNNNNNNNNNNNNNNNNNNNNNNNNNNNNNNNNNNNNNNNNNNNNNNNNNNNNNNNNNNNNNNNNNNNNNNNNNNNNNNNNNNNNNNNNNNNNNNNNNNNNNNNNNNNNNNNNNNNNNNNNNNNNNNNNNNNNNNNNNNNNNNNNNNNNNNNNNNNNNNNNNNNNNNNNNNNNNNNNNNNNNNNNNNNNNNNNNNNNNNNNNNNNNNNNNNNNNNNNNNNNNNNNNNNNNNNNNNNNNNNNNNNNNNNNNNNNNNNNNNNNNNNNNNNNNNNNNNNNNNNNNNNNNNNNNNNNNNNNNNNNNNNNNNNNNNNNNNNNNNNNNNNNNNNNNNNNNNNNNNNNNNNNNNNNNNNNNNNNNNNUGAUUUGUGAAAAGACCAAAAUGCCCUUAAAUUUUCCGGACGGAUUCCCUGCCAACUGCCCAACUUUCAAAGGGCAUAACUCGCUCAUACGAACUCGGAAUCGAGUAAUCUCAAUGGCGUUGGAAAGAUCAUUCCACAAGCUUCGCAACCAUAACUGGAACUACUCCUAACUCAUCCUGAGCUAGGAGUUACGACUGACUCAAAGUUGGCCAAAAUCACUGAUUUCCACACUUAGCCAAAUUUUCCAGAUUUUGAAUUUUUCCAAAUUUCCAGAUUCUGGACUGCCAAAUUUCCAGAUUUUAAAUUUUUCCAAAAAUGACUAUUUCCAAAUUCAAGCUUCUUCAUAUUCAUUUUAAAUUGUCGGAUGUUACACGUAAUCAUCAAAUAUAUUAAGGACUACAAAGUUAAUCACUCGGAAGCCAAAGAGGAAGUGAAGAACAUUUGUAAAUGCAGCUAGCACUUUGCAUAUAAGAUAGUAUGGGCAGACACUUGAAACAACAAGUUUGCAAGAGAUUGAAUGAGAGACCAUACCUGAUAUAACUUUUCCAGCAAAUCCUUCACAAACUUUGUACAGGGGCAACAGCAUAUGAUAUGCAAAGCUUUGGCAAUCAACCUCACCUUCAGGGGACAACAAUCUACUCUGAUCUAUAAGCUUUGGUGAAACUGAUUUGAAACAAUUGAAGAUAAUUCUCAUCUGCAAAAAAUUGUGCACAUUCCACAGCAUGAGAACAGGCACUCCUAGCACCAUAUAUGGGAGAGUAAGGCACAAAAUAUUUUUUUUGGAAAACAACGAGAAGGUAAAUUACAUAGCAAUGACUAGGCUAAGAAAUUUUUUGCGAGUCGAGCAAACAGAGAUAUCCUUAAUUAAUCACCCACCUGCAUAUCCUCCACAUGAAGGGAAAUCUUUCCCAUUGUCUUAAGCAAAUAAGAAAUGACCAAGUAGCGCUGGCCUUCAUCUUCUUGAUCGCUAAGGUCAGACACAAGAGACAGAUAGAUGUUUUUCCCUUUCCUUGAAUCAAGCUGUUGAAAAGCCUUAAGCAGAAGACCCUGCUCGUCAUGUUCAAUGGUGGACCAGAACUCAUCUUUACAUUCAUUUUUUCCUAAGAAUGAAUGCAGAGAGCAAAUUGAAAAGACAAGAUUUUGAGUAAUGAGAUCACUGGCAGCAUCAUCAGUCUGCAGCACCUUCAGCUGACAACAAAGAGAAGUAGCUACGAAGAAAAGUCUACUUGGCCUCAUCAAAAAGUAAGUUUCUUGUGGCAGUUCAAGGUUUUCUUUCCAAGCCUCAGUCACAGUGGCAAAGUAGCAAGCCACAAGACGGUUUGAUAUGUUGCGCAACCACAGAUGCGGAUGCAAAAGCAACUCACAGAUUGCUUCCCACAGAUCCUAUGAGAUGUCAAUAAAAAUAAUAGUCAGAAAACAAAUAUGAAUUUAUCCAAAGAACAGGACAAGUUAUUGGCAAUCUGGAAAUGGGAGUGUGGUAGCUGUGGAGCGUACUUUCCCCAGUACAACAAUAACAUACCUAGUGAAAUCCCACUAAGUGGGGUCAGGGGAGGGUAGAAUGUACGCAGUCCUUACCACUACCUCGUGGAGGUAUAGAGGCUGUCUCCGAAAAACCCUCGGCUCAAGUGCAUCAAACCAAAGUAAAAGUAUCCUCUUCAAACUUUAAGCCCAGUAUACUAUUCAAACUCUAAGCACUUGAUUUUCAAAUACUUCUUAACUUUACACCUAGUCUGUAGUUGCAACUAUCUUUUGGCAUGCUGCCUAAGUUUGAGGACUAAAGCAAUUUCACCUAAGUGGUUGUAGCCACACCAAAAAGUAAUUCAUUUCUUAAAUCUAUCACAAAGCAAAAUGAGGUCCAGCGGUUUUCACAUAAGUCCCCUCGUACAUAUGCUAAGUAGGACAUAUUAUGGAUGACUUGGUUUUAGCCCUAUAUUUUAAGACCAUAGCUAAAAUAAUGAAAUACANNNNNNNNNNNNNNNNNNNNNNNNNNNNNNNNNNNNNNNNNNNNNNNNNNNNNNNNNNNNNNNNNNNNNNNNNNNNNNNNNNNNNNNNNNNNNNNNNNNNUAUCAUAAUCAAGAUCUCCCAACUCUACAGUAGACGUGGCAUUCAAUUCACGAAGAAGAUUUGCCUGUAUGAAAUUAAGAAGUGUUACACGUCAACAAACACCUAAAGCAACAAGUUCAAAAGAAAACUAGAUGGUCUAGUAAUACCGUAGGAUGUACAGAAGAAUCAUUCCCUGCGACAGCAUCAAGAACAUCACAAAUAGAAGUACGGACAUCCAAGCCAGCAGAAAUUACGAGUGGAGAAACAGAUUUGACGGUCUUUUUACUGCUUUCACUACCCAAUGGUUCUACAAUAUCCUUAAUAAUCUGUAAAGUGCCUACACAAAUCUCUGCAACCAGAAAGAAAGGUAAUCUUAGAAAAAGAGCAAGGACAUGAGACCAAACAGGUCCACCAAAACUGUAAGACAAAACUCAGAGACUCUGACCAGGGUCUUUGGAUCUCUUUGACAGAAGCGGAAGCAAGAUGUCAAGAAACUUCCUUGCAGCCAAUGGUCCCUUUAUGUGCUUCGAUAAAAGCUUGAAGACAUUGAGCUCUUUUUCCCCAGGAUAUUUGACAAUCUUCCUGGAAAAGUGAAUACAUCAGUUAAGAGGAGAACUGAUGCUAGUGCAUCUCAUAUAACACUUAAUUACAUAAAGAGCAUGCUAAGUCCACUUAGCCAUAUAGGGUGGAUGACACAUACACAAGAAAAUAAGUAAGAAACCUACUUAUUCUCCGGAGAAGCAUUUUCCAAAAAGACAUUUUAGAGGCAUUGUUAUCAUUUGGUAGAUCCAGGUCCAUGACCUAUUUCGAUGGAACACAUUUUCCAUGGUACAUAACACAUUCUCAGAAUUUCGCUCAUUGAUAUCCAUUGAUACGGACCUCACUUGUGGGAUUUCACGGGAUGUGUUGUUGCUUGAGUUGAUAUGCCCUGCUGAAAGUCUUUGUGGGUAGGAGGGAGUAUAAGAAUGAUCCACAACUCCCGGCAAAGUUGUAACAUUACCAUGUUGAUCUAAAUGUAAUAGAUGUACUCCUAUCUUCUUUACUAUGGCUCCGCCACUGCUAUCCUCUACUCUUAUCUGUUCCCCGCCUUUGAUGUUCAGGCCUUUAAAAGGUCUAUCAUUUGCGUAAGGUAAGUAAUAUACACAUGAUACUUCUCCGUGACCAUCAGGUAUAUCAAAAGGCAAAAUCCAUGAAAAACUCUUUUUAUGGGAAACAGUAACAACAAGGUGUUCAAGCUCAUGUACAUCGCAAAGGCGGCAAACAAACCAGAGAACCAUUCCUAAGAACUUGUUAUUAUGUACUGUGGGCAUAGUCAAACAGAUAGAUGGAGCUGUUACUUUAUUGCUGCACCAAUCUGGAAUCUCAUUGCUUUCGAGAUUAAUUUGUAACAACGACUUCAUCAGACAAAUUAAGACACAAUUAGAUCAUUAAUUAUUAAUGUGAUACGAGAGAGAGAUCAGAGAGGGAGAAGGACUAACCUCAUACCAUUGAUAUUUUCUACACGAAAUUGAUAGAGCAGGGGCACUAAAGAAGCCUUCACUGAAUGGAUUCUGCAGACAAGUACAAUUAUUCAUGUCCAUCUUCUUUAUUGAAGGGAGGUUGUCCAACCCUGUAAUCUUGACCAGUUUUUGGCAAUUCCUAAGUUCAACAACUCUAAGGUACUCUAAAUUUGAUAUUGAUGGGAGUGUUUGAAGGUUCUCACAAUCAUUCAAAUACAAGGACUUCAACCAUGGUAACUUGGAAAAAUCAAAGGGUAGAUAGAGGAAACUGUUGCCGCUCAAAUCUAAAUGAUAUAAGUUGGAUAAACUCCCAAUAUCCCUAGGAACAUCAGCCUCCGAGAAACCACAAUAUGGAAGGCAUAGAAUCGAAAUAAAUUUUGACAAGGAUACUAUGGGGCGUACUCUUGUUUGAGAAAACCUCCUUUUGGUCUCUAAGUAUUGACCUCCCAUUUCCAAUUCUAUAAGAUUUCCUAGCAUUUCAACAGAUCCAGGCAAUUCUUUUAUACCUGUUUCACCUGCAUUAAGAAAUCUUAGGCUUUGCAUAUCUCCAAUGUCAACUGGCAGUGUUUGUAAAGAUGAGCAGUCAUUAAUGCUCAAGUAUUCAAGGGAUUUUAGCUGGCAUAUGCUGCUCGGAAGAUCCGUAAUCUUUUCGCAACCAUUCAAUUGAAGAUCAGUUAGUCUGUCCAAAUUUCCUAUUGAUGGAUGGAUCUCCUUAAGACUUGAGCAAUUGUCAAGCCACAAAGUCUCGAGACUUCUUGAACCACAGAAGUUUGGAGUUCUUCUGAGGUGCUUGCAAUCAGAGAGAUCCAGCAUUUUCAAAUUUCUACAAUACUAAAAGUAAACAAAAUAUUGUUUUAAUUAAGAUUUUCUUUAUCUUAAACAUAACACAUAAAAUUGCAGAAUUGAGUAACGAACCUGCAAAUUCAAACCAAAUUCUUGGAUAUUGCUCCCUUUCAUAUUCAGAACUACAAGCUUCUCAGAUGGAAAAUUUGACGGUAUACAUUUUAAAGGACAUUCUUUCCAAGACAACCAUCUGAGCUCCUUGGACAAUAGCUCAAAAUCUCCACUAAUAUGUAAGUCGUCGAUUUUAAGCACCCUAAGAUUUAUCAUUUUCUGAAAUGCUUUGGUGUUCAGCUUCACACCCUUUAAUGCCUGUCGUUCUACCACCAAUAUUUCUACAUUUUCAGAACCCUACAGUUUGGUAAAAAGAAAAGUACUAUAAGACCAUGUUAUGUAUGAUAAAUUAAGAAAGAGAAAUGCUUUAUACAAAUUGAAGGUCAAACAAAGAAAAUAAAUUAUGUACCAAUAAAAAUAAACUUACACAUUAUAUCCAACUAAAGGAUAUUUAUUUGAUAAUUUUGUCUUUGAUAGCUUGUUUAGACUUCAGUAAAUGUUCAUUUCAAGUACAGAAUGGUUCAAACAUCUAAAGAUACUUACUAACCGGAGAAGAUUUAAGCACAAAUGCAUAAAUUAUAAGCAAGUGUAUAUCAAUAUGAAAAAAGAAGAAGAAGAAGUAUAACCGAGAUAAAGAUAAUGAAAUUUACUGACUUUAUUUCCUUGUAGGACAUCAAGGACUUCUUGAGGGUUGACCAAUCUACUCCGUUUUCCAAAGUCUCGAGGUGAUUCCAUGCGAACGAUUUCUCUUCCCAUAUCCCGCACUAGAUCAUGCAUCACCAAACGACGCCGAUCCCUUUGGAGCAGGUGUCUUUUGACUAGAGUUGCAAUUGCAGUUUCACAAUAAAAACCACAGGGGUUUAAUGUUUUGGUAACUUCAUCCUCAUCACAUCCAUGGAAAGCGCACGCAAUAUCAAGGAAAACACUCUGAGUAUUGUCAUCAAGUCCAUCAAAGCUUAUUUGGAGAAUCUUUUGAAUAUCAAAAUGAGGAAUUGUUCUUAGUUUUUUGAACUCGUAUCUCCAUUCUUCAACGGAUCUCCCUUGCAGAUGUGACCCCAAUGUCACAAGAGCUAAUGGUAGCCCACCUGAAUAUUUUAUUAUGUCUUGUGCCAGCUCAACAUAUUCUUGUGGUGGAGAAAAACAGUUAAAAGCAUGACAAGAAAAGAGUUGCGGGGCUUCAUUGUCAUUUAAAAGUUUGGCCCGGUAUAUCUCACUUGUUGUAAGCCCAUAUAGCAAAUGUUCAUCUCGAGUUGUAAUAAUUAUUACACUACCAGAGCCAAACCAACUUCUUUCUCUUGUUAAGGAUUCUAAUUGGCUUCUAUGAUCCACGUCAUCAAGAAUAAUUAGAACCUUCUUUGACCCAAGUCUUGCUUUGAUUAGACUAACACCUUCAGCAACACUAUCAACUUCAAAUUCCUUAGUUUUGAGGAUUUGAUGAAGUAGUUUCUCUUGUAGCUUGACUAGAACAUAUUCUUCAACUUUUGAUCUUAUGUCUGAAAGGAAGCAACUACCGUCAAACUGUUGAAAUAUUCGAUUGUAGAUAGCUUUUGCCAAAGUUGUUUUCCCAAUUCCACCAACGCCACAUAUACCAACCAUGCGAACUUCAUGCUCACAUCCACUUUGCAGUAACACCUCUAUAUGUUUGAUAGGAGAAUCUAAUCCAAUUGGGUAAUGAGCAACAUCUAGAGGUGUUGGGUUAACCUCUUGCAGAACUUGUUUUAUAAUACUUUCAAUAAACUUUGAUUCAUGCCUACAGUUUUUGCAACAAUAAAUACUCAAGUAUUUUAAAUUAUUUGAUGAACAAAAUGAAAAUCAAUAGCCAAAAGAUAACAGAGUUUAUAGAAUGGAGAUUAUCCCUUGUCCCAAUCUACGGUUUGAUUUGACACGAAAUUUAAGAAAUAUAAAAAGACUUUACAAUGUUCCAAAAUUAACCAAGUUUUAAGCUUAGGCAAAUGCUUAAAUUCAAAAUUUAAUAGUUGAAUUAAGAAGUCUUACCCAUCAGCAACAUUUCUUAAAUCCCAUCCAGAUAAAUUUGCUGCUUCAGUAAGUGCAGCUUUCCACUUUUCCAUUCUUUCAGCUCCAACCAAUCGUUCCUUGUGUUUUGCCAAAGCUUCGUCAAAGGACGAAGUUUGCCUUCGCACUUGAGAAGGAUCAACAUCAUAGAAAAUAGGCAAAACUACCUGCUUUAACCUCUGUUUGCAAUCGAGAAUUUUGACAAGUUCAUCAAGACACCAACUAGACGAAGCAUAAUUUUUGGAGAAAACAACAAUGGCAACCCUAGAUUGUUCAAUUGCUUUCUUAAGUUCAAUUGAAAUUUCGUCUCCUUUUCUCAAUUCCUCAUCAUCUAUGAAAGUAUUAACUCCGACUUGAUACAAUCUGAAAUAAAGAUGACCUGUGAAGUUUUUGCGAGUAUCUUCACCUCUGAAACUGAGAAACACAUCAUAACAUAAGUUGGAAGAAGAAGAUGAUUCUCCUUGAGUAUUCAUAUUUGAUGACAAUAAAUUAAAGAGAUUUUUAGUCAAUUUUUUUGUUUAAUUAAUUAAAUAGAGAUGUGAAGCAGCUCUUUAUAUGCCCACAAGUAAUUGUUUGUUCCUGGAAAUUUAAUUUUGGGUCAACUCAUUUACAGGCCCCAAAGAAGGUUAACAGAAAUGUAAGGGAAGUUUCCAAGAUAUUUCAUAGACAUGUUGCGUUCAAUUUUAUAUGUUAUAAUAUUAAAAAUAGAUAUACAAUUUACUUCCACUUCUUCCGUAGAUUUUUACUUGUUCACAUUAUAAACUAUAGUGAUCAUUUUUAUUUGUACAAUUUAAAAAUAAUCAAAAAUAAGAACUUUUAAUUUAUUUAUUUUAAAAUGUGUCAUACUUCCAAUAAUUCACUUAUGAACCAGUGAGAGUAGAUAAUGAGUGACUUGCUUUCACAUUUAUUGUCAGCACAACUCUAUCAGUCUUCUUUUUUUUUCAUCACUUUCACACUAUCGACAAGUGGAUUGACAUUACCAUGUUGGUCUAAAUAUAGCAGAUGGAUCCCUAUCUUUUUUAUUGCAUCUUUGCGAAAGAACAAAUAGUCAGACUCGUGAACUGUUACCUUUGAUCAUCUGGUCAACAAAAGGACUAGUUAAGCAAGAUAUGUAAUAUACACAUGAUACUUCUCUGUAUUGUCCGAUCGAGUAUAUCAAUAUCACAAAUUCUUGACAUAGAUACUCUCUCUCUAUCGGAUACAGCAAUACUGAAGCGUCCAAAAGUGGAUGAAAGUCUCUUAAAGUCGCAAAAAAAAACAGAGAAUCAUUCCUAAGAACUUGUACCCCUUAUCAUGUACUGUGGGCAUAGUGAAACAGAUAGAUGGAGAUGUUACUUUAUUGCUGCACCAAUCUGGAAUAUCAUUGCAUUCGACACAAAUUCGUAAAACUUGCUUCUUCAGAGUGUGAAAUGACAGAGCCUGGGCACCUUGAUUGAACGAUCUCCUUCAUCCUUGAGCAACCUUGAAGCUUCAAAGUCUCGAGACUUGUUGCACCGUUGAAGUUUGGAGUUUUUUUGAGGGCCGAGCACCAAGAGAUAUUCAGCUCCUUCAACCUUGGGCAACACUAAAUGUCAACCAAGUACAUUAAUAUUCAAGUUAUACAAGACUAUUUUGUAUAAUUUCACUAGUCAAUGAAAAAUGUAGAAUUGGGCAACAAAUUAAACCUGCAAAUUCAAGCCAAAUUUUUCGAUAGCACUCCCUUCCAUAUUAAGAACUACAAGAUUCGCAGCUGGAAAAUUUGGUGGAAUAUAUUUUAAAUGACAUCUUUGCCAAGAUAACCAUUUGAGCUCCUUGGGAAAAUGCCACAAAUCUCCAUGAAUACGUAAUCCAUUGAUUAUAAGCACCCUGAGUUUCUUCAUUUUCUUAAAUGCAUCGGUGCUAAACUCCACUCCCUCUAAUUCCCCUGGUUCAUCUAACCUCAUUACUUGUACAUUUCCGAAACUCUGUAGUUCAGAGAAAAUGUUUUAAUUAGGACUAAGAAUUGUAACACGACAUACAAUUAAAUUAAAAAGGAACAAGGAUUUACUCACGUUUUUUCCUCGUAAAACAGCACAGACUUGUUGAGGUAUGAAUAAUCUACUCCGUUCUACAAGGCAUUGAGAUUCUGAGCGAACAAUUUCUCUUCCCAUAUCUCGCACUAGAUCAUGCAUACUUACACAACCCCCAAGUACCCCUUGGAGCAACUGUUUUUGGACUAAAGUUGCAAUUUCACAUUUAGUGUGAAAACCACAUGCAUUUAGUAUUUCAGUUUUCUUGAGAGUCUUUUGGAUAUCAUCAUGAGGAAUUUCUUUUAGUCUCUUGAAUUUGCGUCUCCAGUUUUCUAUGGAUUCCCCUCGAAAAUGUGAACCCAAUGUCACAAGUGCUAAUGGUAGCCCACCUGAAUAUUUGAUUAUGUCUUUCGUCACCCCAACAUAGUCUUUAGGUGGAGAAAGACUGUCAAAAGCAUGACGAUAAAAAAGUUGCUGAGAUUCAUUGUCAUUUAAUUGGUUGAUCAUACAUCUUUUUGCAUUAAGCCAACUUAGCUAAAGCUCGUCUCGGAUUGUAAUAACUAUUAUACUACCCAAACCAAACCAUUUCUUUUCUUUUGUUAACGAUUCUAAUUGUUUUUUUGUGUCCACUUCAUCAAGAACAAUUAGAACCUUCUUUGACCCCAGUUUUCUUUUGAUUAGAUUGAUUCCUUCAGCAACACUGCGAACUUUGUACUCGUUGGUUUUGAACAGUAUAUUGAGAAGUUUCUCUUGUACACUUUCUAGACCAAUCUUUUUUUCUAGCAAUCUAACAUCAGAAAGGAAGCAACUACCAUCGAAGAUAAAUAAUCGAUUGUAGAUAUUUUUGGCCAGAGUUGUUUUCCCGAUUCCACCAACUCCAUAUAUACCAACCAAGUGAACUUCAUCUACGUGUCCAUUUUGCAAUAACGACUUUAUAGGUUUAGUACGAGAAUCAACUCCAAUUGGGUAAGAAGCAACAUGUAGAGGUGUAUGGUUGACCUCUUUCUUCAUAUCUUGUAUAAUCAUUUCAAUAAAUUCAGCUUCAUGCCUACCAAUAUUUUUACCAAAAAACACUCACAUGAUGGGAGGUGUUACGCUUUAAAAUAGUUGCCUAUCUAUGGAUGGCAAUGGGGCGGUGCGGGACGGGGCGCGUUGAGCUUAAUCUAUAAAAAAUUUAAUUCGCUCUGCAUAACAAUUUUUUUCAUUUUCAACCUGCCCCGCAUGAAACUCCCCACAUAGUUUUUUUAAUAUUUUUCUUUUCUAGUUAAGUUUGACACUAAAAAUAAAAUUCAUAAAAAUAAAUUCAUUUUUUCAUUAAGUUGUAUUAAUUUAAUAGAAAAUGACCUAAAUUUUAUUUUUUAGAAGUCAAUUGGUAAACAUGUAAGAAAUUGUAUUAAUUUUUAUUGAAUCAUUUUCAUUUACCAUCUUGAAUAUUUUAGUAGCUUUAGAGAAAUUAUCUUAAUAAAUAAUGUUCUAUCACUCUUAUAGCAUGUAAAAAGUUAAAAUUAAAUUGAAUCCACAUAAUGCCACAUAUUCCGGCAACCCCGUCCCACAUAGCCUUAAAUCCACUCCAUCCCGCAUCCGCCCCGUUUCAUUGUUAUCUAUGGCUAUCAAACGACCCAAAAUUGUUAACAGAAAUAAAAAGGAAGUUUCCUAAGAGGUACUUUCUCUUUUGGGUAAUAACCAUAGUUAAUAGUAUAAUUAAAAACAUUACAUUUCAUCCUUGUAGGAAAUUACUUAUGGGGUUCUUGAUAGGCAAUCUUACUGUGGAGGAAAGUUGAUAGAAAUUGAAUGGAAACAUUCAAAUUCUUUUUCUUUUUAAUUGAAUGGUUUUCACAUUCUAAAUUUUCUCUACCCACCAAAGGUCAAUUCUAAUAGUGGUUGCAUCUUGAAUUGGACCCUUUUUAUUUUUAAACAAAUUUCUUAGUACACAAAACAAAUAUAUUGCUUACUUUAAAAGCAAGGUAUCAUAAAUUCACGUCGAAACAUUGUACUUGCCCUUUAAAAUUUUACAACUUAUGAUUUUCAUCUUUUUUUAAAAAAAAUAAUGCAAGAAAUAUGUCAUGAUGUUCCACUAUGCCUUUAUAAAUCUCCAUUUAUCUUUGUUUUGUUUGUUUAAUCGAAAUUUAAUCUUCUUACUGUUACGAUUACCAGAUUUUACACACUACUUGCCUAUUCUUUCUUCUUCUAACCUUUUCUUUUCCUUUUUGAAUAUUUUCUUUUAAUAUUAGUAUUUCUUUUGAAUGGUCUAACCAGUAGUUGAACUUAGAAGCUUUCUUUGGUUAUGAAACCAAAUUAAUAUUAUUUACCUUAUUUAGAGGUAUUGCCACUAUAAGUAAUACAACGAUUAACUAUUUUAUGCAAAACUUUCGUAAAUGUGCUUUUACAUAAAUUUCCAUUCAGUGUGACACACACGAAGUAAAACCACAUGUUUCUUCUUUUUGCAUUCCAAAAAAAAGGAAGAAUAUUCUUCUCCAUUACUAAAAAUCAAUAAAUUACACAGUUCAAUCACUUACAAUGUUCCCUGGCAUUGCAUGUUAAUCAAAGAGACACUAUAUUCACUAUACAAUGAAAAAGUUGAUUCAAUUUUUUAAACUAAGCUUAGUGCAACUCAACAUACUACCACUAUACAAUGGAAAAUUUGGUUACAUAAAUUAAACAAAAUUUUCUAUAGAAGCUACUGCCUAUAUCGAACAACAAAAUUUUCUAUAGAAGCUACUGCCAUCGAAGAUCGAUGCUCAAUUGUUCAUACCUAAUAAUGGCUUUGUAGCCCUAUAAUAGUACACAUUCUACUACAUCCAUCUUCCCAUCUUCAUUGACAUCAUUUUCCUCUUCUUGUGUGCUUUAUGCUUUUCUGCAAUCCUCAGCUUCCUCUUGGCAUUUCUCAUUGGAUUAACCACAGCAAUGACCUUCUCUUCUUGUUUCCUCUUAUCCCUCUUCGAUUUGAUAUUCUUCCUUAUAUGACUGUAAAUUUGGACAAAAAUAUGUGUUCCUAUAACAUUGCUUAUGCUCCCUCGCACUCCUUCAGCCAGUUGUUUCACGUCGUCUGUGGAGAUGAUGCAAACGUAAUCAUCAAAUAUAUUAAGGACUACAAAGUUUAAUCACUCGGAAGCCAAAGAGGAAGUGAAGAACAUUUGUAAAUGCAGCUAGCACUUUGCAUAUAUGAUAGUAUGGACAGACACUUGAAACAAUAAGUUUGCAAGAGAUUGAAUGAGAGACCAUACCUGAUAUAACUUUUCCGGCAAAUCCUUCACAAACUUUGUACAGGGGCAACAGCAUAUGAUAUGCAAAGCUUUGGCAAUCAACCUCACCUUCAGGGGACAACAAUCUACUCUGAUCUAUAAGCUUUGGUGAAACUGAUUUGAAACAAUUGAAGAUAAUUCUCAUCUGCAAAAAAUUGUGCACAUUCCACAGCAUGAGAACAGGCACUCCUAGCACUAUAUAUGGGAGACUAAGGCCCAAAAUAUUUUUUUUGGAAAAACAACGAGAAGGUAAAUUACAUAGCAAUGACUAGGCUAAGAAAUUUUUUGCGAGUCGAGCAAACAGAGAUAUCCUUAAUUAAUCACCCACCUGCAUAUCCUCCACAUGAAGGGAAAUCUUUCCCAUUGUCUUAAGCAAAUAAGAAAUGACCAAGUAGCGCUGGCCUUCAUCUUCUUGAUCGCUAAGGUCAGACACAAGAGACAGAUAGAUGUUUUUCCCUUUCCUUGAAUCAAGCUGUUGAAAAGCCUUAAGCAGAAGACCCUGCUCGUCAUGUUCAAUGGUGGACCAGAACUCAUCUUUACAUUCAUUUUUUCCUAAGAAUGAAUGCAGAGAGCAAAUUGAAAAGACAAGAUUUUGAGUAAUGAGAUCACUGGCAGCAUCAUCAGUCUGCAGCACCUUCAGCUGACAACAAAGAGAAGUAGCUACGAAGAAAAGUCUACUUGGCCUCAUCAAAAAGUAAGUUUCUUGUGGCAGUUCAAGGUUUUCUUUCCAAGCCUCAGUCACAGUGGCAAAGUAGCAAGCCACAAGACGGUUUGAUAUGUUGCGCAACCACAGAUGCGGAUGCAAAAGCAACUCACAGAUUGCUUCCCACAGAUCCUAUGAGAUGUCAAUAAAAAUAAUAGUCAGAAAACAAAUAUGAAUUUAUCCAAAGAACAGGACAAGUUAUUGGCAAUCUGGAAAUGGGAGUGUGGUAGCUGUGGAGCGUACUUUCCCCAGUACAACAAUAACAUACCUAGUGAAAUCCCACUAAGUGGGGUCAGGGAAGGGUAGAGUGUACGCAAUCCUUACCACUACCUCGUGGAGGUAGAGAGGUUGUUUCCCUAGUCUCAAGUGCAUCAAACCAAAGUAAAAGUAUCCUCUUCAAACUUUAAGCCCAGUAUACUAUUCAAACUCUAAGCACUUGAAUUUCAAAUACUUCUUAACUUUACACCUAGUCUGUAGUUGCAAACUAUCUUUUGGCAUGCUGCCUAAGUUUGAGGACCAAAGCAAUUUCACCGAAGUGGUUUUAGCCACACCAAAAAGUAAUUCAUUUCAUAAAUCUAUCACAAAGCAAAAUGAGGUCCAGUGGUUUUCACACAAGUCCCCUCGUACAUAUGCUAAGUUGGACAUAUUAUGGAUGACUUGGUUUUAGCUCUCCUAUAUUUUAAGACCAUAGCUAAAACAAUGAAAUACAGCAGCACUAGCACUAAUGAAAUAAAGGAUAGAGAGAGAAAAUAUAGUAAUUUUUUUCUUUCUACAGAGACUAAUAUCCAUUCUAUAGAGGAUAGAUAUAGAAGAUAUUUUAUCUUUUUAAAUUCUACAAAAACAAACAUCCAAUAUGUGCUAUAGAGUAUCAAAACAAUGUCUCAAAGGCAAUUCAACCAGUUAUGAAUAUCCAUUAGCUCCAUUUUAUCCCAAUAGAAUAAGUCUGGAUGGCAGGCAAAUCUUAUAAAUGUUCAUAUGUUGUUGUUGUUGUCUUAUUUACAGAAGUAAUCAGUUAGUACCUAGUAGUAGUCACUUUAAUUUCUAACAUAGGAUUAAAAGAAAGGAAUAAAUACCUCAAGAUCCUUUCUGAAGCACAACUUAGGAAAUUGAUUUAAUAUCUUCUCAAACAGAACCAGUGAAUAAUAUGCUUCUUUCCAAGAUGAAAUCGUUGCAUCAUUCGGUAGAUCCACUUGCUUAUUUGUAAGAACAUUAACAGCAGAUUGCAAGAUGUUUCUCAUAACAGGUAGGAGGCUAUCAAUAUACUUUUGGAAACCAUCUUUAAGUCCUUCAAUGAGUAACCCCAAAACCUGUAAAAGAAAUAAUGAAGUCUUGAAACAUGUUUUUCUAUUUUUUGAUGAGGAAGGAGUUAUAUCUCAGAUUCAUGACAAAAUAAUGACGUCAGUUUUUGUCCAUUCUUCCGGCUAUUUAAUUCAUAGUUCAUAUACAUAAACGAAUAUGAAAAAAGUGAAUGACAUAUGGAACUUGUAAUCCUUCUUCGGUAUUUCCAAACUUGCUCCACGAUGGCAUAAUGUAGUUGAAUAAAAGAACAGUUUGGGGUUUUCACUCGUUUACCUGUGCUGCAGCACUCCAUAAAUGUGGUUUAUCUCCCAGAUACCAGGACCGACUAAACUCAAGAAUUGACUGGAGUGAACGGGGGCUGACUCGUCCAACAAGUAACUUUAUGACUGUACCAGUCAUUGAACGGACUCUGUUGUCACGAUCAUUCGCCAGACAAACCACCAAAUGCAGAAAAAACGUCUGAGAUUGUUCAUCUAUGAUGCUAACUGGGAAUUUCAUUAUAACAGCAUGAAGCAUUUCAAGGAUAGCUUCUCUUCCAGUUGAAUGCUCAUAUCUGAAAAAUUCAAAAACAUCAUUACAGAGAUGUCACCAUCUAUAAAUUUUACCAAAUGAAAUUAUUGAUUGUGCCCUUAUGUCCUUGCCUUAAGUUUGAAAGUAAGAAAUCAAGAUGUUGUUGAAGACGUUUCUCAGAUAUAUGGUAGUCCAGUAAAAACUGCAGCAAAAUUUGGCUGCUUUUCUUACGAAUUGAUUCAACUUGACUAGUCACCAUCAACACUGCAAGAUUUCUGCAACUACCAACUUCCUACUCACUAUUGCUUUCAACAGUGAGAGAGCCACAAAAGAGGGAUUUCUUUCAAGAUCAACAAAAAGAGGAAACUGGAUUAGCAUAUGCAGUUGAUCAGUAGAAAGUGUGAUCUUAGUGCUACGCAAAAGCACAGUUAGCAACUUAACGCAAGACUCCAAUAAUGGAUUACUGGAAGUUACUGAACCUUGAGCAAUAUUCAGUAAUGAAUUCUUUAUCUUCUCUGCCUGAGAUUCAAGAGAUGGCAAAGGGAGCCUCACCAGAGGAGAUAAGCACCUAAGUGAGGCAGACAUGACAUUCUCAUAUUUUGAGUUUAAGCAUUCACCCAAUAAUCUUACAAAUGGAUCUAGCAUUGACAACAACUGCUCAUCUUUCUUGUCAAAUUUCAUGUUCUUCAUGUAAUUCUGAAGCACUCCAAGAGCAAAUUCAGUAAUAAGAUGGGAAUAUCGUGGAUCAACGCUGACCAACUUAUCUGAUUUAGCAAUCUGGCUGCUUACUCCAUCUUUCUUUUGCUUACCUUCCAUUAAAGUCGAUGUCUCUGCAUGCCCUGGAGAUUCAUCUUUUAUGCCAUCUUUGAUCAGACCAUAUUCAUAGAUAAAGAGUUCUGUCUGGUUAACGGAAGGAUUACACUGUAUUCCAGCAGCUAUAUGAGAGAACAUAUUCUCAAAUUUUGAUUUUACUUUUGGAGUCAGCUGCUUCUGUAGAUGCUUAAGAAUUGGCGCAAGCAGCUUCAGAGCAUGUGUUUUGAAUGUGAUGCUUUGGGCAAUCAAUUUAAGGGUAUCAUAUGACUUCUGCUUCCUAGUCUCUUCCAUCUUUGAAGCAAUCUUCUCAACCUCUUUCUCCUCUGAAAUAUCACUAAGUAUAUCAUUUAUUGCAAUCGAGAGAAGAUCCUCUAAACAAAAAUCCAGCUUCCCACUACUGGGAUUUAGAAGAAAUUUUGAUAGUAGAAAAUUGAGAGUGAAUCCCAAAACAUGCAAUUCAAAUCCUCUCUUCAGAGUGCCUCUCAAGACUUUGACAACAAAUUGCAAGUACUCCAGCCCUAGUUCUUUUAAACAAGCAGCCAAAGCAGCUCUGGCUUCAUCACGAACACUUUCCAAACGAUUCUUAAGGAAAUUCGCUAUGCGAUGCAUCAUAGAUGGAAGGUGCGAUUCCAUGAUGUCUCCCGAAAUUCCGCAAUAACACCUUUUGUUUAUCUGGUUUCAGUGUCAUCUCCCGAAAGCAUCUAUUGAGUAAUGCAUAAUACAAUCUCCAGUCCAUGAAUUUAGAAAUUGAUCCAACAGCUUCCAAACAUGCACUUCUAAUAUUUUCACCCUUUCCAACUUGUCCAUCAACCAACAUUUUAAAGAGAAGAGGGAUAAACACUUUAUUUAUGAGAACCUGCACCAGAAUUAUUCCCAACUAUUAGUACAGCUUAGCAACACAGAGCACAAAUUGAUGCUUAAAGAAAAAGGCAAGUAACCACCUUAGACAGAUUCCCGGAAUAUGUAACUCAUCGAUUUUAAGCACCCUCAAAUUUUUCAUUUUCUUAAAUGUCUUGGUGCUCAGGUUCGCGCCUUUUAAUUCCCCUGGAUCUACCACCAGUACUUCUACUUUUUCGGAACCCUGUAGUUUCAGCACAUAUUAAUUGAACAAAAGCAAUUAUAAGCAAAUAUUUAUCAAAUUAUUGAAAAAAAUUAAAAUCACGAAAGAUAAAGAAUCUACUGACUAUAUUUCCUUGUGGAACAUCUCGGACUUCUUGAGGUUUGAACAAUCUACUCUGUUUUCCAGAGUCUCAAGGUGAUUCCAUACGAACAAUUUCUCUUCCCAUAUCUCGCACUAGAUCAUGCAUCAUCAAAUAACGCCAAUCCCUUUAGAGCAAGUUCCUUUGGACUAAGGUUGAAAUUGCACUUUCAGAAUAAAAACCACACGCAUUUAAUGUUUUGAUAACUUCAUCCUCAAAAAAUCCAUGGAAGGCACACACGAUAUCAAGGAAAACACUUUGAGUAUCACAAUCAAGUCCGUCAAAGUUUAUCUUGAGGAUCUUUUGAAUAUCACAAUGAGGAAUUGCGUAUCUCCAUUCUUCUACGGAUCUCCCUUGUAAAUGUGACCCCAAUGUCACAAGAGCUAACGGUAGCCCACCUGAAUAUUUGAUUAUGCUUUGUGCAAGCUCAACAUAUUCUUGUGGCGGAGAAGGACUACUAAAAGCAUGACAAGAAAAAAGUUGUUGAGCUUCAUCUUGAUUUAAAAGUUUUGCCUUGUAUCUUUCAUUUUCUCUAAUCCGAGAUAACAAAUGCUUGUCUCGGGUUGUAACAAUUAUUAAACUACCAGAGCUAAACAAACUUCUGUCUCUUGUUAAGGAUUCUAAUUGGCUCAUAUGAUCCACUCCAUCAAGAAUAAUUAGAACCUUCUUUGACCCAGGUCUUGCUUUGAUUAGAUUGACGCCUUAGCAACACUACUAACUUUGACGUCCUUAGUUUUGAGAACUUGAUUUAGUAGUUUUUCUUGUAACGUGACUUGACCAAAUGCUUCAGCUUCUAAUCUAACAUCUGAAAGGAAGCAACUACUAUCAAAUUGUCGAAAUAUUUGAUUGUAGAUAGCUUUAGCCAGAGUUGUUUUCCCUAUUCCACCUACGCCCAUAUAUACCAACCAUACGAACUUCAUCUGCACUUCCUUUUGGAGUAACAACUCUAUAUCUUCGACACGAGAAUCUACUCCAACAGGGUGCCAAGAAACAUCUAGAGGUGUCUGGUUUACCUCUUGUAGAACUUGUUUUACAAUACUUUCAAUAAAUUUUGAUUCAUGUCUGUAUAUUACCAAAAACAACAGUUAGAAUUAAAAAAAAAAACAACUUUGAUAUGUGGAAAAAAAAUAAUUGAUAACCAACUUAUGACUUUUGACUGAUAAGUCAGUGUGACCAGCUUAUAAAUAUUACCCGUCAACAACAUUUGCAAAUCCCAUCCAGAUAAAUUUGCAGUUUCAGUAAGUGAAUCCGUCCAUUUUUUCAUUCUCUCAACCUCGAAUGAUCGUUCCUUAAGCAUAGCCAAAGCUUCACCAAAGCAUCCGGUUUGCUUGCGUACAUGAAAAGGAUGAACAUCAUAGAAAAUAGUCAAAACUAUUUGCUUUAACUUCUCUUUGCAUUCAAGAAUUUUAACAAGUUCAUCAAGACACCAACUAAACGAAGCAUAAUUUUUCGAGAAAACAACAAUGGAAACUCUAGAUUCUUCAAUUGCUUUCUCAAGUUCUGUUGAAAUCACCUUACCUUUUCUUAAUUCCUCGUCAUCUAUGAAGGUAUUAAUUCUGACUUGACAUAAUCUAGAAUAAAGAUGACCUGUGAAGGUUUUUCGAGUAUCUUCACCUCUGAAACUCAGAAACACAUCAUAAGAGAAGUUGGAAGAAGUAGUUGAUGAUUCUCCUACAACAAAUUGAGUAUUCAUAUUUGAUGUGAAUAAAUGGAAGAAUGAGUAGCUAUAUAUAUAAUAUACCAUGCACAUUCUAUGGUUUUUUCUUGGUAACUUAACUAAUGCUAUAUAUUCUUUAAUUUAUUUUGUACAAUUAUUCUUCAUUAAAUUUUGUUAAUUGGGAUUUUUUUUAAAUUGAUUCUUUACCUUUUGUCUCAUCUUUAAUUUGUUAAAGACUUGAAUGAUAAAAAUUUAAAGUAAGAUUCUUUCUUCCUUAACAACUCAAAAGUUCAUCUCUCCACAUAAUUAUGAUGAUGUUAAGCUUGAUGUCAUAAUCUUUUAAUAAUGGAAUUGAAAACAUCGAUUUGUUCUCAAUUCACAAGUUGGAUUAAACGUUUUUUUUCUUUCUUUUUACCUAAGUAUCACAUAAAUUAUAACGAUAAUUUUUUAAAAGAAAAACAAUUUGUAUUAAUAGUAAAAACUAGGAAACUUUGUCGUAAUAAAGCUAACUACUAGUCUAUUGCAACUAUUAAACAACUAGAGCUAUCAAUAUGGGCUGACCCAUCCCAUCCGGGUUAAUCUAUACAGGUUUUGAAAUAUGACGGGUUAGGCCGGGCUAGCCCAUUUUUGGUGUGGGCCAGAAAAUGGUCGGUCCAACCCACAAGUACGUGGGCUAGGGGCUUGUCGGGCCAGCCCUCUUUUCGUAAAAGUAUAUUUUUUAUAAUUUUUUAAAUUAAAUUAUAAUUUAAAAAUAUUAUCAUAAAUAUCGACAAGAUAGUAUUACACGGUGUUAGUGUUGACACCUAAUUUUGACCCUCCACAAUAAGAAUUAAUUUGUGAGCUUUCUUAAUUCCAAACGAUUUGAAAUAACUAAUUUUAUAAAAAUUCAAAAUAUGUUUCAAAGAUAUUUUAGGAAUUUUAUUCACUUUUAUAAUAUUUUAAAUAAUAAAUAUGUUUUAUAUUGUUACGUAUGUAACUAAUAUAUUUUAUAAACACUUGAAAAAUAUCUUGAAAAAGAUUUUUUUUUUUUUAUUAUUAUUAUCAUUUAUUUUUAACGUUAAACACUUUACUAAUUUAAUUUAGUUUGAAUUAUAGGUAUGUUUUUGAAUUAAUUAGUUUGAUUGAGUUAAUUAUUUUUUAGUUUGUUAAAUUUAAGAAGCUUGUUAAUUGAUCUUGUUUAAAUUCAUCUCAUUUAGCUUUUGCCGAAUUUGCUAAUUAAAUCCGAUUUAGCUAACUUCCUAAUUCCCAUUAGGUCAUAAUUGCUUCCAUGUGGCUUAAGCCAAUUUAAAUCUCACUUGGACCAAAUCUAAGAUCAGACUUGGGCAUGUCCUCAAUUUCCAAUUCCCAAGCUCAUUUCCCCUUUGGUUUCCAAUUAAGCCGAGCCCAACCCAUCCUUCUCCAAAUUUCCCGACCCAAUCCAACACAACUGACCCGACCCGGCCCAUUCCAACUCUAAAAGAAACUCAAAUGUCCUUCUCUUUUCCAAGGUCCCAGAAGCAGUUCCAAACGUUCACAGACCGACAAAGCAACAGCAGUCCACGGCAUCCUCACGAUGAGAGACGAUUCCAAAGGAAUCAACACGGAAUAUUCGAAUCACAAUAACCAACGACGUCAAUUCCGAUACACGGCGUGAAAGCAUGGAGAUACACGCAAGCAGUGAGGAACGAGACGGACAGAGGGCAGUACUAUUCCUUGUCUUCUUCCUCCAAUGUCUCUCUCAACCAGUACUAUGGCAGUAGCACGCGGUUUUCACCUUUCCUCUUUCGGAAUGGGGCGAAAACCUCAGAAGAAGGGUGUGUGUCCGAAUUUGUGAAAGGUUUUUGGAAUUCAAAUUUAUGGGACUUGAAUCCGAAAUUGCAUUUGUCCUUUCCCCCCACAAUCUACCCUAAUUUUCCCAUAUAUAAUCAUCUCUUCUAUUAAGUCUUAAGAAGUCAUUAAGUCGGUUAGUUAGCUCAUUAAUUUAAUAGUCAGUUAGUUAGUUAUUAAAAUCUGUUGUAACUAACUACACUGCUUGUAACUAACUACACUGCAGAAAGCCAGCUAAGGCAUCGUGUAUAAAUAGACAUUCAAUUGUCAUUGUUGACACAAGAAAUAAAAUUCCUUUCUAUCCUUUGUUCAAAGUGCUCUCAAUUCAAUUGUUCAUCAUCUGUGAUUGAUGAAAGUUAACAUGGUAUCAGAGCAGUGAUCAUAAGGGAUUGAUCUGCGUAGAAGAGAAGAACCCAGAGGUGCUGAGAAGCUGUAGAAGAAGCUCCUGAAACAAGCAUCAAUGGGGACUAAUGAAGUUACAGAUCUAAGUACAACAAUAGGAACAAAUGAGAUUACAACUCUAAAUCACAAUCACCCGCUUUAUCUCCAAGCUUCAGAUGCACCUGGAGUAGUUCUGGUUCCAAUCAAAUUAACAGGGCCAGAAAAUUACGCUUUAUGGAGCCGAUCGAUGAAAUUGGCUCUUAGAGGAAAAGGGAAACUUGGAUUCAUUGAUGGAUCUUGUGCGAAGACAACUUAUAAAGGAGGAUUAGAGGAACAAUGGGAGAAGUGCAAUGCAAUAGUACUGUCAUGGAUUGCGAGCACAGUUACGAGUGAAUUACUGCCAGGGAUUAUAUACGCUUCAAAUGCUAAGAGAGUUUGGGAAGAUUUUCAGGAGAGAUUUGAUAGAUCAGAUCUCACUAGAAUUUACCAUUUGUGGUCAGAAAUUGCAGCUCUCAAACAAGGUACUGAUUCUGUGACCUCUUACUACUCGAAAUUGAGAGAUUUAUGGGCUGAAUUAGAAGUAAUGGUUCCAUCACCUGGUUGUACAUGUGCGGAUUCAACUUCUUAUAUGGAGCAUUUAAGAUCUCAGAAACUGUUGCAAUUCUUAAUGGGAUUGAAUGAGAGUUUUGGACAUAUCCGGAGUAGCAUUCUAGCUAGGAAGCCUGUAGUGACAGUAAAUGAAGCAUAUGCAGUUGCAGCACAAGAAGAAAGUCAAAGAGUCCUAGGUGUUUUGGAUAAAAGCAGGGAUCCGUUAACACUUUUAGCAGGGAAAACUCAAGGAUAUAGAUCAAAGCCAAAGAAGUUUGUGCCACCAGGAACAAUUUGCGAUCAUUGUGGUUUCAAAGGCCAUUUCAAGGGUGAUUGUUAUAGGUUGGUAGGGUAUCCACCAGAUUUUCAAAGCAAGAGAAGAGGACCUGAUGGUUUUAAGCCAGAUUUCAAGCCAAAUGCACACUUAAGUAAGAAUACUGAUGAUCUCACCAACAGAGGAAAGCUUACUGAAAAUUAGGGGUCAUCAUCUCAAUAUGAGGAUUUGGGAAACAAAGUGGGUCGAGCAGGAAUAUCAGGAUGUGUUGCUAACUUGUCAGGUAUGAAUUCUUUAGAUUUCAAAACAGACACAGUUUAUGAGUGGAUAAUUGAUAGUGGAGCUACACAUCAUAUUACACCUAAUGAGGAGUUAUUAAUUGCCAAUAAAAGAACACAUAAUAGUGUUGGAGUUCAAGUUCCAACAGGGAAGAGGUGUGACAUCAAGAGUAUUGGAGUUGUGAAGAUUUUAGAAGGGGAAGAACUUCAGAAUGUGUUGUAUGUGCCAGAUUUCAAAUUUAGCUUGUUAUCAGUUGCAAAGCUAACCAGGGAACUUGCUUGUUCAGUUUCUUUCUAUCCUGACUAUUGUAUAUUUCAGGGACUUUACAAUGGCAAGGUAUUGGGGAUUGGUAAAGAAAAGGAAGGACUAUACAUACUAGAGAAUCAACUAAGGUCAAUAGUUCAUGCUGUGACUGUUGACAAGGGGAAUGGAGAUACAAAGCUAUGGCACUUAAGGCUAGGACAUGCUUCACCUGGAGUUCUAAAACACAUCCAGUCUUUGAAACAUCUCUCAAAUAAAGAGGUGCAACAUAACUGUGAGAUAUGUCCUUUAGCAAAGCAAUGUAGAUUGAAAUUUCCUAUUAGUACAAGUAAAACAUUUGGAGUUUUUGAACUGGUUCAUGUAGAUGUUUGGGGACCAUAUAGAAAGCCUACUUUUGACAAGAAAUAUUAUUUUGUUACUAUAGUAGAUGACUAUAGCAGGUACACAUGGUUAUGUCUCAUUCAUUCCAAGAGUGAAGUCAUUGUAGUACUCAAAGAUUUCAUUGCUUUAAUAAAAAAUCAGUUUGGCUUGUCUGUGAAAGCUUUAAGGUCUGAUGAUGGUACCGAAUUUUUCAGUUCAUCAGUUGUUGAUUUACUUGCUUCAUGUGGUAUUGUACAUCAAAGUAGUUGCGUUUAUACCCCACAACAGAAUGGUACAGUAGAAAGGAAACACAGACAUAUCUUGGAAGUUGCAAGGGCUUUAAAGUUUCAAAGCUCUCUUCCUAUUCAUUUUUGGGGUGAGUGUGUUAGGACUGCUGUGUACUUGAUAAAUAAAUUGCCUACUGAAGUGCUGGGAGGGAGAUCACCUUAUGAGAUGCUACAUCAGAAAAUACCUGGUAUUGAUCAUUUAAGAGUGUUUGGUUGCCUAUGCUAUGCAACUAGGUUGCCUAAAGGAGAUAAGUUUGCCCCUAGAGCUAGAAAGUCAGUUUUUCUAGGAUAUUCUGAAGUUCAAAAGGGUUACAGAUUAUAUGAUUUAAUUGAGCAGACAUUCUUUGUGAGCAGAGAUGUGGUCUUCAAAGAGAAUAUUUUUCCUUAUCAAACAGAUACAUUGUCUCCUGAGUCAGACAUGUUUGAGUUAAAUAGCUCAGAAUUGAGUCAUGUAUAUUCAAAUGAGGAUGUGGUGUUCGAUACAACAGUGGUUGAACCAUCUGUCUGUGGUAUUGAACCACCCGAGGUUGAUGCAGUUCCUGAUGUUGUCACUGCAGUCACAGAGGAUAGUGAUUCACUAUAUGAAGGGAAUCCAAUCUCAUCACCAGAUAUACAACCUGUCAUUAUUCCAUAAACACAUGUCAGACCUCCCAGAAACAUCAAACCACCUAGUUGGCUUGAUGACUACAUUACUAAUCCUAAGAAAUCUGCCAAUUGUACAUAUCCCAUCUCAAAUUACCUUCAAUAUUCUCAUCUGUCAGCAGCUUACCAAGCCUAUUUAGGUACUUUUUCUCAACCAGUUGAGCCUAAAUCCUUCAAGGAAGCAUCUUUAGAUGACAGGUGGGUCGCAGCUAUGAGUGAUGAAAUUGCUGCCCUUGAGAGCAAUCACACCUGGGAUAUAGUCGAUUUGCCACCAGGUAAACAAGCCAUUGGUUCUAAGUGGGUAUUCAAGAUCAAACACAAUGCUGAUGGAUCUAUAGACAAGUACAAGGCAAGGUUGGUAGCUAAGGGGUACAAUCAAAAGGAGGGGUUAGACUAUCAUGAGACUUUCUCACCAGUUGCCAAAAUGGUAACAGUGAGAACUCUCAUUACAAUUGCAGCUUCCAAAGAUUGGCCUCUCAUUCAGAUGGAUGUUAACAAUGCAUUCCUACAAGGUGAUUUAUAUGAAGAGGUUUAUAUGGCUUUGCCACAAGGGUUUCACAGACAGGGGGAGACUAAAGUAUGCAAACUGACCAAGUCUUUAUAUGGAUUAAAGCAGGCCUCUAGACAAUGGAAUAUUAAAUUGUCUACUGCUCUACUGGAAACAGGCUAUGUUCAGAAUUCACAUGAUCAUUCCUUGUUCACAAAACAUUCAGGAGAUGAUAUAGUGAUGAUCCUUGUAUAUGUUGAUGAUUUGUUAAUUACAGGAAACAGUCAAAGUUUGAUUGAGGAUGCUCAAAAGACUCUACACAACAAAUUUAAAGUGAAAGACUUGGGGCAACUUAGAUACUUCCUAGGAAUUGAGAUAUUGAGAUCAGAUAAGGGAAUCUUACUCAAUCAGAGAAAGUACACCUUGGAACUGCUGUCCACAGUGGGGUUAGGUGGUGCUAAGCCAGUUUUUACUCCUAUGGAGAUGAACACAAAGCUUACUACAAUAGAGUAUGACUCAAUGGUUGGAAAUAAAGAUGAUCCUGUACUAACUGAUGUACAUAGCUAUCAACAGUUGAUAGGGAAGCUGAUUUACUUAACAAUCACCAGGCCAGACAUUUGUUUUGCAGUACAGGUCCUAAGUCAAUUUAUGCAACAUCCCAAGAAGUCACAUUGGGAUGCAGCACUAAGAGUCCUUAGAUACCUGAAGGGAUCACCAGGACAAGGAGUAUUAUUGAAGAAAGGACCAAUUACAAACUUGACAGCCUUCUGUGAUUCAGACUGGGCUGCAUGCCCCAAUACUAGGAGAUCAGUAACAGGAUAUGUUAUUAUGCUUGGAGAGUCUAUGGUCUCAUGGAAAUCAAAGAAGCAACAUACAGUGAGUAGGAGCUCAGCUGAGGCUGAGUACAGAAGUAUGGCAGGGGCAGUAUCAGAAAUUAUUUGGUUAGUUGGUUUACUGAAAGAUCUGAAAAUAGAUGUCACUACUCCAGUCAGGUUGUGUUGUGAUAGCAAAGCAGCUAUGCAAAUUGCUUCAAACCCAAUCUUUCAUGAAAGGACUAAGCAUAUUGAAAUAGAUUGUCAUUUUGUGAGAGAGAAGCUCAAAGAUGGCCUAAUCAAACCAGAGUUUGUUGGCACUAAAUCUCAGUUGGCAGACUUGCUUACAAAAGGCUUAGGAACAGUACAACAUCAUUUUCUUCUGUCCAAGUUAGGAGUUCUUGAUGUUUUCCAUCCUAGCUUGAGGGGGAGUAUUAAGUCUUAAGAAGUCAUUAAGUCGGUUAGUUAGCUCAUUAAUUGAAUAGUCAGUUAGUUAGUUAUUAAAAUCUGUUGUAACUAACUACACUGCUUGUAACUAACUACACUGCAGAAAGCCAGCUAAGGCAUCGUGUAUAAAUAGACAUUCAAUUGUCAUUGUUGACACAAGAAAUAAAAUUCCUUUCUAUCCUUUGUUCAAAGUGCUCUCAAUUCAAUUGUUCAUCAUCUGUGAUUGAUGAAAGUUAACAUCUUCUAUUCAUUGUAGAGGGGGGGAUUUUUUUUUUUGGAGUUGAAAAUUUUAGAAAAAGAAACAUUGAGAAGUAGCGAGAAAGCAAGAAGAAAAUAUUGGAGAAAAGUGGGGAGUUUUUCUUGAGCGAUUUUUACACUUGAGAAAUUUGGAAUACAUUUUAGUUUUUGGUUUGUAAGAGCCUUUGCUCGAAGUCAGUUCGGAUAUCCCGAUUGUUUGCUCGAUUUUUUGAAGUGGUGUAAGAGGUCGCCGCUCGUUUCGGCUCGUUCUGUCUCGGCUUCGUUGCACCUUUAAAGGUAACACCUCUUUCUUUGUAUGAUUUUUCUUCCUUUAUAUUUUAAGAUGGUGUUUUACUUGUAUCCUGGAAGUUUGCUUCCUGCUGAUAGUUAUUAAGUUCUUGACGUUCUGAUACACCUUAGUUGCGAUACUCUAGUUAUUUCGAGUAUCGUUUUCGAUCUUGUUGAUUCGUGCCUAGAUUUGCUGCUUCUUUGUUGGUUUUAUUUAAGGGUGUUUCACUAAUCUUUUCUUGAAUUUAUUGGUUUGAAUUCCACCGAGCAUGUAUGCUUCGUUUCACUCGUUCAUUAACGUCAGCAUCUGUAGGCUCUCCCUUUGCUGCUUGCCUUUGCUUAACCUGUUCAACAAGUAUGUUUGUCCAGUUUAGCGAUUGAUUGAGAGUGUUCAAUGUCUAUUGCUGUUUUUGAAGUAAAAUUGCAGCUUUGCAUCGGGUUAUUUAAGUAUCGGCUAAUCGUCCUAUGUUUUUGAGGCAUAGUAAUUAAUUUUCUUGCAUGUUGCCGCUAAUUAAAAUUGCAAUGGCUCUUCUAUCUUUGUCUAAAUCUAAAGAUGUCUCCUGAUGUUGGCUCGCCAUCUAUCUUGGCCAUUUACGUGUUUCUUUGCUUAAUAAUGCCCCUUUUCUCUGCAUUUUUCUUGUAUUUAUUCAUGUCUACUCGUGUUUGUGUCCGGCAUGCUCUUUAUCCCUUAAUGAUCUCAUCACUGGCUCCCCAACUUGUUUGGAAUUUGAUCCCGCCAUCAGUAAUUAAUUUUGUUUUCUGUACUGAAAGUCCCGGGUGACAAUUACUUAAGAAUGUGGAGAAUGACAGCCUUUAUUGUGCUAUUAGUCUCCUCGUCUGCAAUAAGUUGAUUUUUUCAGCUAAAAGUAGUAUUGUUGAGAUAAAUAUUUAACAAAGAUUCCGACUUGUUCAUCUUAUGUCUAAAAAACAAUAAUCAUAUCCCUUGGCUGAUUCACGUGUUUCCCGAAGUGUGCUAAGUAAUGAGUUGUUUCGGUCUCAAAUGUAUAUCCUGGCUGCCGUAGUUGCCAAAUUGGACUUUAGUAAUUUCAUGUUGUCUUUUUCCUUUGGUCUACAAUUUAAAAUUUAAUUAUUAUUUUUUCUAUGUGUCCACACUUGCCUAUUUCAACUACUGGUAAUUUGCUAAAAAAUGGAGUGAGUCGGAGGCAAUAGUAUAAGCGUGAGGAGUCUGGUCAUCUCGGCUUGCUCUUGGUUUUUCUUUUCAUGUAUUUGCAUUUUUUGUUCACAGCUACUGCUAGUUGCUUGCAAUAUAAAUGGGUUAUGUUCCUUUUGAUACGUUCAUCAUUUAGUGACUAGUUCUGAGAUGUUAUUACUGGUUACUGAUUCUCUUGUUCUUUUCUUCGUUUUGCAUGAAAAAUCUGUCUGAGUUCAUUACGAACUCCUAUCUUCCCUCUUGCAUUUUGGGAGAGCCGCAAAGGCUCAAAAACUCCCUUUAUCGAGUUAGCCGGCCACUAAAAUCAAAGAACAAGUCCCUCAAAUCGACGAACAGGUCCCAAAGGUGGGGAAAUGCGGAAGCGGAGGAUAAUUGAAAAGAUCGGGCCAAAGGCCCACUCUUUAUAUAAAGAGGAUUGUAUUUUUUAUUUAUUAGGCCUAAGUCCAGUUAUUUGCUAUUAUAUUGUUAGAAUUUAGGACAGGUGGCGAGAAUUGGGCCUUGUGGCCCAAAAUGAAAUUAGGCCCAAGUGUUGGUCCAGGCGGACAGAAAAAUCAAACUUGGGCCCGAGUCUCUUUCCCUUUCUAUUUUAUUGUGUUUAUCUACUAGUUAAUAUUUGCCAUUAAUCUUAAGAUUAACAAUUCAAAUCCCCAAAAGACGCUCAUUUUCGCUUUAAAUCUUUUUUACUAAACCAUUCAUCUCUUAACAAGACUUAAAGAAAUAAUUUUAUAAGAUAACCACUCAGAUAAUAUUUAAAUAUUUCCCUUUUUUCCUUUUUAAAAAAAAAAUAGCUCUAACUAUAAAAUAGUUCAAUCAUGUUAUUCGAAUUAAGUUAAAGUAUUUUUAGCCAAAUAAUUAAUUGUCGGAUAACCGCUUAUUAGCGGGGAUUUUGGGUGCUUUCAAAUCCUUUCUGAAAUGCUAAUAUGAACCUCGAACCCCCUUAAAUAUUUUUCAAUUGAUUUCCUGUUUUAAUCAUUUGAAAAUCAGAUUUCUUGAUUUUUCUUAAAAAUUAAGUGGCGACUUUUAAAAACAGUCUUAAAUUAUUUUAAAAUAAAACAGUUAGUGUUACUAUUUGUUAAUCAAAUCCACAAAUAAAAUUAUCUUUAUAUUAUUAAGUUUUAUUUCAAGUAAAAGCAUAAAUAGCUAAAUAAAAAUAUUAACCUAAUUAUUUUUCAAUAAUCAUAAUAAAAUAUAAAAACUAUGACAAUAUUCCAUAGGCUACGUAGUGAUUCCUAGAAAUUUUAGGAAAAUUUUAUUUUAUGUAAUACAUAUUUUAUAAACAUAAUUUAUAUUUAGAUUGUAAUAUUUCAAACUUUAGACUGAUUUUGAGUUUAGACUCUUGUUAUUUUUAAUACUCUAUUUAUUAUUUAUUUUUAAUUAAUUUUUAUUUGGCUCACGGGUUGGCCCCCUAUCCAUAUUUCUCAAGCCCCUCAAAUUGGCAGACUUAUUCAGGCCAGGCUAAAAAAUCACCUUUUUCUUAAAUGGGCUCCAAAAAUCAUAGCCCAACCCUAUCAAAUCACGGGUUAGGCUAGGCCGGCCCAACGGGCCUAGCCCAUAUUGACGGCUCUAUAAACAACUAAUAAAACUAAUUGGAUCAUUCUUACUGCACCAUUGGUCCUAAUCCUAUACCUAUCAUACUGAUAUAGAGGCGAAUUCAGAACUUAAAAUUUAUGAAUUCUUAUAAAAAAAAAACUAAAAUUUAUGAACGAUAUAAUUGAGUUCAUAAUCAAAUUAUACUAAAUACUUAAUGAUUUUCUUAGUACAUAUAAAUAAUAUGAAUAAAAUCUAUUGAGUUCACACUAACCUCUCUAUAGUGUGGCAGGUAAAAUCAAUAAUUUUGAUCCAAAUUGUACUUUGUAUUUAUGAUAAUAAAUUUGUUUGUUAUGUGUAAAAAAAUAUUCGGAACCCAAUCCGACCAGUAAACGCCAGUAGUAGUCAUAGUAUUUGGAACAAAGAAAAGCAAGGGAAUAACAAACCAUAUCUUCUGCUCCAACUUCAUUUUCUUAUAGUAUUUUUGGAGGGAAAAAAGGGAAUACAAAUUAAAUAUUAUCAGAAUGCCAACCAAAUACUGACAUUGUGCUCUAUCUUUACUGUGGAAAAAAAUUAAAUGUAAUUUAUUUAUGCAGUUUUUUAAUCUUCCAGGGGUCCCAUUUUUCUAUAGAUUGAAUUAUCUUUAAUAUUUUAUGACAAAAUACUGUAAAGUGGUGUAUAGUGGCAUAUAUAUAUACCAUUUGUAUAUUCCUCAAAAUCAUGAUAAUACCAUUUGUUUCUAACUUUUUAAUUGUACUAAUUGAAUAGAUUAACUGUACAAUAUACUUUUGUUUAGUUCAAAAUUUUCCUCUUUGUACUUUAAGCUUUGGUGUCUAUUGUUUUCCACAUUUUAUGAGGUGUUAGGACUAGCAAAAGGCAUAAUACAUAAACAUACAUUCAAACUAGGUCUUAGUUAGAGUGAUCAUUUAGACACCUCCAAAAUUUAUGUAUCACGUCAGUAUAGGGUGUCCACGAGACACAUUAAGGAUGAGUUGGAGUGUUUAGCUGUUAGUUGAGAUGUCUAGAUGUACAUUCUCAAUUAGUUACGGUUGCGAAAUUUUAAUUGGAUGACAAAACUAGGAUCGAAGUUUCGAGUGUUUGGCAUCUGACAGAUGAAAAAAAAAAUCUGAAAUUUAAGAACAAACUUUUUCUUACAUAACGAACACAUGAAAAUAAGUAAGAAACGUACUUAUUCUCCGGAAAAACAUUUUCCAAUAAGACAUUUUAGAGGCAUUGUUAUCAUUUGGUAGAUCCAGGUCCAUGACCUAUUUCUAUGGAACACAUUUUCCAUGGUACUGAACACACUCUCAGAACUUUGCUCGUUGAUAUCCACUAAUACGGACCUCACUUGUAGGAUUUCAUUGGAUAUGUUGUCGUUGUUUGAGUUGAUAUGCCCUGCUGAAAGUCUUUGUGGGUAGGAGGGAGUAUAAGAAUGAUCCACAACUCCCGGCAACGAUGUAACAUUACCAUGUUGGUCCAAGUAUAACAAAUGGAUCCCUAUUUUCUUUACUGUGCCUCUGCCAGUUUCAUUCUCUACUGUUAUCUGUUCCCCGCCUUUGAUAUUCAGGCCUUUAAAAGGUGUAUCAUUUGAGUAAGAGAAGUAAUAUACAUAUGAUACUUCGUGACUGUCAGAUCUAUCACAAGGCCAAAUCCAUGAAAAACCUGAACGCUUUAUAUGGGCAACAGUAACAGCGAAGUGUAUAAGCUCAUGUACAUCGCAAAGGCGGCAAACAAACCAGAGAACCAUUCCUAAGAACUUGUUAUUAUGUACUGUGGGCAUAGUCAAACAGAUAGAUGUAGCUGUUACUUUAUUGCUGCACCAAUCUGGAAUCUCAUUGCUUUCGUGAUUAAUUUGUAAUGACAGCUUCAUCAGACAAAUUAAGACGCAAUUAGAUCAUUAAUUAUUAAUAUGAUACGAGAGAUAGAUCAUUAAUUAUUAAUAUGAUACUAACCUCAUACCGUUGAUGUUUUCUAGACGGAAUUGAUAGAGCAUGGGCACUAAAGAAGCCUUCAUUGAAUGGAUUCUGCAGAAGAGUACAAUUAAUCAUGCCCAUCUUCUCUAUUGAAGGGAGGUUGUCCAACCCUGUAAUCUUGACCAGUUUUUGGCAAUUCCUAAGUUCAAGAGUUGUAAGGUACUUUAAAUUUGAUAUUGACGGGAGUGUUUGAAGGUUCUCACAAUCAUUCAAAUGCAAGGAACUCAACCGUGGUAACUUGGAAAAAUCAAAGGGUAGAUUGAGGAAACUGUUGCCGCUCAAAUCUAAAUCAUGUAAGUUGGAUAAACUCCCAAUAUCCCUAGGAACAUCAGCCUCCGAGAAACCACAAUAUCGAAGGCUUAACAUCGUAAUAAAAAUUGGCAAGAAUUCUACGCAGCGGACUCUUCUUUGAGAAAACCUCCUUUUGGUCUCCAAGUAUUGACCUCCUAAUUCCAAAAUUAUAAGAUUUCCUAGCAUUUCAACAGAUCCAGGCAAUUCUUUUAUACCUGUUUCACCUGCAUUAAGAAUACUUAGGCUUUGCAUAUCUCCAAUGUCAACUGGCAGUGUUUGUAAAGAUAAGCAGUCAUUAAUGUACAAGUAUUGAAGGGAUUUUAGCUGGCAUAUGCUGCUCGGAAGAUCCGUAAUCUUUUUGCAACCAUUCAAUUUAAGAUCAGUUAGUCUGUCCAAAUUUCCUAUUGAUGGAUGAAUCUCCUUUAGACUUGAGCAAUUCUCAAGCCACAAAGUCUUGAGACUUCGUGAACCGUUGAAGUUUGGAGUUUUUCUAAGGCUCUUGCAAUCAGAGAGAUCCAGCUUUUUCAAAUUUCUACAAUACUAAAAGUAAACAAAAUAUUGUUUCAAUUAAGAUUUUCUUUCUCUUAAACAUUACACAUAAAAUUGCAGAAUUGAGUAACGGACCUGCAAAUUCAAACCAAAUUCUUGGAUAUUGCUCCCUUUCAUAUUCAGAAAUACAAGUUUCUCAGAUGGAAAAUUUGACGGUAUACAUUUUAAAGGACAUCCUUUCCAAGACAGCCAUCUGAGCUCCUUGGACAAUAGCUCAAAAUCUCCACUAAUAUGUAAGUCAUCAAUUUUAAGCACCCUAAGAUAUUUCAUUUUCUGAAAUGCUUUGGUGCUCACCUUCACACCCUUUAAUGCCUGUCGUUCUACCACCAGUAUUUCUACAUUUUCAGAACCCUGCAGUUUAGUAAAAAGAAAAGUACUAUAAGACCAUGUUUAAGUAUGAUAAAUUAAGAAAGAGAAAUGCUUUAUACAAAUUGAAGGUCAAACAAAGAGAAUAAAUUAUCUACCAAUAAAACUAAAUUCACACAUUAUAUCCAACUAAAGGAUAUUUAUUUGAUAAUUUUGUCUUUGAUAGUUUGAGUGUUUAGACUCCAGUAAAUGUUCAUUUCAAGUACAAAAUGGUUCAAACAUCGAGAGAUAAUUUACUUGCCGGAGAAGAAUUAAGCACAAAUGCAUAAAUUAUUAGCAAAUAUAUAUCAAUAUAAAUGAAAAAUGAAGAAGAAUAAGUAUUAACCAAGAUAAAGAUAAUGAAAUUUACUGACUUUAUUUCCUUGUAGAACAUCAAUGGCUUCUAGAGGGUUGAACAAUCUACUUCGUUUUCCAGGGUCUUGAGAUUCCAUGCGAACGAUUUCUCUUCCCAUUUCCUGCACUAGAUCAUGCAUCACCAAACCAGGCCGAUCCUCCCUUUGGAGCAAGUUCCUUUGGACUAAGGUUGAAAUUGCACUUUCAGAAUAAAAACCACACGCGUUUAAUGUUUUGGCAACUUCAUCCUCAUAACAACCAUGGAAGGCACAUGCGAUAUCAAGGAAAACACUCCGAGUAUUGACAUCAAGUCCAUCAAAGCUUAUCUUGAGAAUCUUUUGAAUAUCACCAUGAGGAAUUGCUUUUAGUUUUUUGAACUCGUAUCUCCAUUCUUUAACGGAUCUCCCUAGCAGAUGUGACCCCAAUGUCACAAGAGCUAAUGGUAGCCC
rnacentral:lncRNA from 1 species